rnacentral:lncRNA from 1 species
UGCACAAAGGGGAGGGACCUGGGGCGAAAUUAGCCCUCUGAGGCCAAACUCGGGGAUCCCAUCCGAACAUGGGCCGGGUCAUCGGGUUAGGACUGCUUAAACUGCGCCGUUUUGAAGCCAUUGAACUUGGCUUAAAACGGCAUCACCUUAUACACUCCCAAAUGCCUAAAAUAAAACCCUAAUGAAACACAUCUCAUUCUCCAAAAAAUCGAAGUAAAAAAAAAAAGGGAAAACCCAGAGUCUAUCAUCGCCGUUCAGCCUACUCAAGAGCCUGCGCAGUCCAACCCCCACUGCAAUCAGUGGAGAACCACGCGUACAACCUUAGUCUAAAACCCCGGUUCAACAAUUGCCAGUUUCAGCCCCUGAAAUCCUAUCCCACGCUUCGAUUUCGACGAAGUGAAUAAGGAUUUCAGUAACCCAUUCACAAAGGUGAGCUCCUCUUUUCGUUUUAUCUUUAGAUGUAAAAAAAAUGAAAAAGAAAAUCAAAGAGAACAGAUCAAGAGAGAAGAAAGCGUAAUAAACCCCCGGAGAUUCACAACGGAAAAUCACCUUAUUUUUUUACUUUCUAUUGCUUCGGUAUGCGUAAAUGUGCGUGUGUUUGUAUUGCUUGUGUAAAAAAAAAUACAAUCGGUGCCUUCUUGGCUUUAUAGCCGAAACUAAAAUAGAAAAAUACAAUAUUUCCUUGCUUUGCUGCUGUUGUGUUUGUCUUGUUCACAGGUACGGAGCAGAGGACAUGCGCUGGCCCUUGGCGUGAGGCAUACGGGGCUGUGCUGGCGCGGGUAUGGGGGCUGUUCUGGAGGGUACAGAGGUAGCUGGCGUGGGGGCUAGGGUCGCUGUUGCGGCGCAAGCAGGAGCCACUAGGGUUUCUGCUUUGGUUCUUGGUUUGGGCAUUGGGCUUGUUGGGCCAUCCGGGUUUUAGGUUAGGGUUUUAAGUUUGGUUUUUUGUUUUUGUGUUGUAACGGGCCGAGCAAAUUUUGGGCCUUACAAAGACUAAAGGCCAAACACACGCACGCCACUGCCCGCCCAGCCCGUAUCUGUGUUAACACAUGUCUACGACAAGUACCGUGCAUGUUUCCAUUUGGAUAAAUUUUUUGUUGUUUUCUUUAAAAUAAAACAUAUUAUUUUUCUUUUAACAGUUUUUAGUUUCUAAGUUGUUAAAAUUUUAAAAAAGUCUAUUUCUGGUUAUAGGCUUAUGGUCGCUUCUGGCUGUUAGCUUAUGGUCAUUUCUGGCUGUUCGACUAACCUUACAAAUUAUCGUUUUUCUAAAUUGCUCAAAUAUUCUCCUCAUUUUAUAUAACAUACACAACAACAACCUAUCUUUUCUCCCAUAGUUCACUUGUUUCUUUUCAGUAUAUGUUUCGAUCAAUUUUUUAGCUCUAUUUUUCGAUUAUUUUUCUUUGAGAAAACCAACACCAGUUUUGUUUAAUCUUCUUUAUUUGGGUGUACAAAUAUUGAAGUAUUGUUAAGGGCAAUGUUCACUAUACGAUUACACAAAUCAGGACGGAUUUGCUUCUAAGGCAGUGGUUAUUCCAUGACACGGUUAUUAUUUCAUUUAUUUACACACUAUUUAUUUAUCCAGUCUAUGCUUACGAUUUUGUUUUGCAGCAGUAUAUUUCCUACAAUUUAGAAGUAAAUUUUUUACUAUUUUUAAACAUGUCUAUCAUGAUGAACAAAUACAUUCCUUGUAACAGCUCGUUUUUAGUGAAAUUGGAACAGUGGUUUCAGGACCACAAAUUCGAGUCCGGAAGAAAAUUUAUUUUAAUAUUAUUUCAUGGUCUGCAUUAUGAUAGAAGUGUCGUAUGAAAAUUUCGUUAAGAAAAUUUUGCCGAUUACAUGUUUAAUUUGAUGAAAGGAUUAAAUUGCAUAAAAUGUAAAAAGUUGAAUUCUAGUAACUAAAGGAAUCAAAUAGCUAUGGAAUUCAAAAUUGGAGGUCCUUAUAUGGAAAAUAGACCAUUAAGAGGAGUUAGUAGAUAAAUAUGAUAAUUCAUCCUUGGAAAAUUUAAUAAAGAAAAGGAUGAAAUUGGAAAGAUGAUAUAAUUAAAGAUGAUAAAUAACAAAAUAAAAAAAAUAUCAUCAUAUUAUCAUUAUUCCCAAAAUUAAAAACAUGGAAACCCUAGCUAUGGUGUUGAGUUUUGAGCAAGCUUAUUUGGCUUAAUUGGGUAAGUAUUCUUAUCCCGUUUUUAAUGAUUUUCAUGUUUCCGAGAUUGUAAUAGCUUAAUCUAGCUAUCUCAGGGAUUAAUUUGCAAAAUUAUCAAAGUACUAGGGUUUUUCCAUGGAUGAGUAUAGCUUAAUUAUGAAAUUUUAUGGUAGAAAAUGAAAGGUUGUUGAUAGAUAAACAACUUUUGUAAAGGGAAUUUUGAUGAAAUUAUGAUUUAGGGAGUAAAUUGAAAAGAUGUAAAAUUUAUAGAAAAAUUCUAAAUUUUGUGAAAUACAUGGGUUACAAUUUUUAUAUGUAAAAGUCGGCUAGGCUUGGAAUAAGGAUUAAAUUGCAUGAAUUUCAUUUUCCGAGUUUAAAGAUGAAAUUGUAAUUAAUCAAAAGUAUAAGGGCAAAAUGGUAAUUUUUCCAAAAAUGUGAAUUGGAUUGAAUUGAAUAUGAAUUGGCGUUAAAUUCAUUCGUAUAGAUCUAGAUAGAUCAAAUACGAAGUUAGAUCGUGGAAAAGAAAAAGCAUCAGAUUAGUAGACAACAAAUCAACGUACAAUUAUCGAGGUAAGUUCAUAUAACUAAAUUGAGAAUUUAUAUGUACUAAUUGUAUUGUAUGUAUGUGAUUGUAUUAUUGUCAUGUAUAUGAAAUUAAUCACAUAUCCGACGAUGAUCGAAAAGUAUUAAGUCCCGUUUGAAUAAAUGAAAUUCGAUGGAUACAGGUUCCCGAAUUGGUUAUGGUCCUGCAUGUGUUGUAGACACACCAUAGCUCGCAAGCGCAUCCAGUUUUUAGCUCUCAUGAGCAUCCCGAUAAUGGCUCUAUUGAGUUACUCGAUACAUGGCUCUUACGAGCUUUCUGUUAAUAGCUCUUAUGAGCAUAUCGAUUGGUUGUGAUCCUGCAUAUGUUGCAGACACACCACAGCUCUUACGAGCAUCCCCAUAUUUGGCUCUAAUGAGCUUCCCGUUAUAUGGUUCUUGUGAGCUUCCCGAUAACUGGCUCCUAUGAGCUUUCUGAUUAAUGACUCUCUAGAGUUUCCUGAUAUUGGCUCACUUGAACUUCCCGAUUACGGCUCUUAUGAGCUUCUUGUUAUACAACUCGAAUGAGUUUCCCGUCAUAUGGCUCAAGAGAGAACUUCCCAUUUAUGUACUCGUAUGAACAUUCCCAAACAUGAAUUGACAGAUUACAGAUUUAUACACUUCAUGUGUACUACUCGUGUAUCCAUCGAUAUUUUAAAUGGUUUAAUGGGAAAAGUUCUUAUAUGAAAUAACAUGAGUUCAACAUGAAUUAUUACUCGAAUAUAUCUGAAAUACAGGGAAAUAAUUUGUACAUGUUGUAUGGAUUCAUGAUGUGAAAAGUAUAUGUAUAUGGCAAUUUUGAUUAUUAUUAAGCUCAUAUAUGUUUCUUGAUAUUUCUAUGAAAUACAUGACUAACAUGGUUGGUGAGGAUAUGUGUUAGGGUUUUUGGCCAACUUGGUGUGUCUUGCAUGUUAUUCUUUACAUGAAUGAAUGGUAAGUUAAUUACCAUGUUAUACAAACUUACUAAGCUUUAAAGCUUACUCUGUUCUAUUUUCCUCUGUUUUAUAGUAAUUCGGAAGCUCGUUGGGUUAAAAGCUUAGCUGAUAUAUCAUCACACUAUCCAUUGGCCGAUUUCACUACAUAUAGAAAACUAAUUUUGGUUAUAAUGGCAUGUAUAGGGUAAAUUGGCCAAUGUUGGCUUAAUAGCAUUAUAUUGUAAAUAGCCAUUGAAAUGGCUUGAGUUGGACAUAUUUUGAUAUGUAUAUAUGUGUGUCUUUAUCAUGUUGUUGUGUUUGAUAUGGUUGAGUGAUGAAUAAAUUAUGGAUAUGUUUAUGAAUGGUUUAAGAUAACAUGGUUGGUAAAAUAUGCAUAUAUGUUUAUAUGUUCAAUUAGGUAAGAUUGAAUACUUGGACAUAUAGAGUGUUAUGACAUGUAUUGAACUUGAGUUUAGCAUGAAUUAAAGGUCUUAUUGUGACUUGUGAUUGUGCAAAUUGUUGUGUUUAGGUUAAUACCAAAAUUGGAUGAGAAAUAUGGCCUAUAAAUAGCCUAUUUUUGUCCACACAAGCAGAGACACAGGCGUGUGUCUUAGCCUUGUAUGACACACGGCCUCACGCACAGGCAUGUGGUUUGGCCGUGUAUCCCAUGUAUCAUUAAAUUUUUAAAACAGAAUGCUCAGAUAUUCUCACACGACCUAGCAUACGGGCGUGUGGCUUGGCCGUGUGACCCCUACACUUAUUUAUUACAAGUCAGUAUGCUCACACGGCCUAGACACGGGCGUGUGGCUUGACCGUGUGACCUAACUCGGUAAGCUCCCAAGUUUAGAGAUGAGCUAAGACACGACCGUAUGUUUUUAAUCCGAAUGCCCAUAAGGCCUAAGACACGGGCGUGUCUUUUGUUUGUGUGAGACACACGUCCUGGCCACACGAGCGUGUGUCCCCUGCACCUUGGAAAAUUUUGAUAUUUUUCAAAAAAUUCUCUGAGUACCCAGAUUAGUCCCGAUUUGUUUCUAAUGCAUAUUUUCGGCCUCGAGAGCUCAUAUAAAGGACUUUAUGAUUGAUGUCUGAUAUAAAUGUGAAAUGAUAUGAAAUGUUUGUAGUUAAUCUGUAAACCCCUGUAAUGCUCCGUAACUUUGUUCCGGCGACGAAUAUGGGUUAGGGGUGUUACAUUCCUGAUAUUUCCAAGCUCGAGUCUCUUGACGGAACCAACUACAAAUGUUGGUCUCAAAGGAUGGUUAUAUUUUUCAAGCAACUCGAAGUUGGCUACAUCCUCUUCAAUCCACCUAUUGCCAAGGAAGCUGGAGAUUCUACUAUCGUUCCCAGAGACUUGGACAUUGAUGCCAUAACAAAAGCCAAUUUUGACAAAGACAAUAGAAUGGUAAGAGGUCACAUGUUAAGUCACACGGCUAAUAAUCUUUUCUAUCUGUUUGGUAGGAAUAAAUCAACCAAAUCCAUCUAGGAUACCUUGGAGAAGAAGUAUAGAGGUGAUAAUGCUGGAAUAAAAAAGUAUGUUGUUGGAGAGUGGCUCAAAUUCUAGAUGACCGAUGAUAAGUCAAUAAUGGAUCAAGUACAUGCCUACGAGGAGUUAGUUUCCGAUAUCCUAGUUGAAGGGAUGCAAAUGUGUGAAAUUCUCCAAGAAAAUGUCUUAAUUGAAAAGUUGUCGAAGUCUUGGUCCGACUACCGCAAUCUCCUAAAGCAUAAGAAGCGGGACAUUUCAUCGGAAGAACUGAUUUCCUAUACAAAGAUUGAGGAAGCCAAUCAUCUUAAAGAUAAGACUUUAUUUACUUCAAUUUAAUUUCAUUUAAAAGUUAAUCUAGUGCAAUUUGGUUCUAGUUCCAAUUUUAACAGGUUAAAAAUGACUGAAAACUCAAAGAAGAUCGGAAAACUCCAGAACAAGAAGCUAUCAACUUCAAGAAACCAAUGAAGAAUAAAAAAUCCAAAAAAUCUGUGAAUUGUUGCGUAUAUAGCAAAGUUGGACACAAAGCAUACAAAUGGUACCAAUGCUCUAGCCGCUAGAAUAAGAACAAACCACAAGCACAUCUAGUUGAAAAUCUAGAUGAGAUAACAGUCGUUGUGGUUUCCAAAGUAAAACUGGUUGAGAACAAUGUUGAAUGGAUUGUAGACACAAGCACUUCCAAACACUUCUGCUCCAAUAGAGAAAUUUUCACCGAGUUUGAAAAUGUAGCUGAAGAUGACAAGUCUACAUAGGUAAUUCUAACAAUUCAGAAGUACUCGGUAAAGGAAAGAUCUUAAACUUACUUUUGGAAAAACAUUAACAUUGAAUAAUGUUUUUUGUGUAUGUACCCUACGUAGUAAUUUGAUCAAUGGUGGAUUACUGAAUAAGACAAACAUUAAACUAGUCUUUGAAUUUGAUAAACUUGUACUUUCCCGUAACGGAGCUUAUGUUCGGAAAAGUUAUUUGAGUGGAGGUUUACUUGUGAUUAAGACUAUGUUUAAUGAUAAUAAAACCACCACUAUGUAGCAUGCUAAAUUAGGUUAUGUGAAUCUUCAUUCUCUAAAAAAACUCAUAAAAAUGAAUAUACUUCCUAAUUUAGAUGAUAGUUGCUUUAAUAAAUGUGAAAUUUGUGUUGAAGCCAAGCAUGCUAGACAUUCCUUUAAAACUCUUACUGAUAGGAAGAUUAAACUUUUAGAGUUAGUUCAUAUUGAUCUAUCAAACUUUAAAAACACAAAGAGUAAGAGCGGGAAACACUACUACAUCACAUUUAUAAAUGACUACUCUAGAUAUACAAAAGUUUAUCUCCUAAGAUCAAAAGAUGAAGCUGAUAUAACUUUCCUACUUUAUAAAGUAAAAGUGGAAAACCAGCUUGAUCAGAGAAUAAAAUGUUUUAGAUCUGAUAGAGGUGGUGAAUAUGUCACUAAUUUCCUUAAUAAGGUUUGUAAGAAAGACGACAUUAUACAUGAAUUUUCUGUUCCUUAUUUCCCACAACAGAAUAACAUAGUUGAAAGGAAAAACAUAACUCUAAAAGAAAUGAUGAAUGUUUUACUACUUAGUUCUAGUUUACCUGACAAUAUAUAGGGAGAGGUCGUACUUUAUGCAAACCAUGUUCUUAAUAGAGUGUCUCAUAAGAAAAUUAGAUUUUACCUGAUAUGAAUUAUGGAAAGGUUAUGCCCUAAUCUGCAAGACUGGAAAGUGUAGGGGUGCUUAGCAAAAGUAGGCUUGCUUGCUUUUAAAAAGAGCACUAUCAAAUCUAAAAUUGUUGAUGUUGUAUUUAUUAGUUAUGCUCUUAAUAAUGUUGCAUAUAGAUCCAUGUCUUUGUAUGAUUAUUCCAUAUGCAAAUCUAGAGAUGUUAUUUUCUUUGAGAAUGUUUUUACUAUAAAGAAAUCUAACAUAAGUACUGAUAUACAAUUAGAUGAGCAUGUUUCUUCUAGUGCACAUAAUAGAUAUGUUUUUAUGAUUAUAUUGAACCUAAAAUGAGCAAAAGACAAAGGACUGCCAUUAGUUUUGGACUUGAUUUCCUCACUUCCCUUGUAACUGAGAUUAGUGAUUUAAUCUUUAUUAAUGAUUUUAUUGCUCACGCAUUUUUUAUAGAUGAGGAUUCAAAAAACCUAUGAUGAAGCCAUAAAAUCAAUAGGUGCUAGUUUUUGGAGAUCUGUCAUCAAUAAUGAGCUAGAGUCUAUUAUGUCUAAUCACACUUGGGAACUAGCAGACAUGCCUAGAGGUUUUAGACCUAUUAGUAAUAAAUGGGCCUUUAGAAAGAACUUAGACUAGAUGGGUCAAUAUAGAGGUGUAAGCCAAGACUAGCUGAAAAAGGGUUCAUUUCAUAAUUUUAGCUUUUUCUCGAGUAUCCUCGGUUUAAUUUAAUUCUUGAUCUAAAAAAUUAUUUUAGAUUCAUCAAUACCAAAAAUUUAUACACUAUUCUGUGAUAUGUAUGAACAUAUGAAACUUUAUUUUUGGAUACCUUUAAAGUUUUGCAUUUUAUUCAAUUUAGUCCCUAAAACCAAAAUAGUCAUAACUUUCAAUUUUGAGCUUCGGUUUGAAAACCAAUUUCAAUUACAUCCCUUAUGGACUCCCUAUUAUCGAUUAUUAUUGAAGUUUCACAUCAAUUUUGUAAUUUAUCAAUUUUAGUCAUUAUACUCAAAACUAAUAAUUAAACAUUACAAUUGUUAAAUAUGACUCCUAUUUCCAGUCAAAUUAGAGAAAUAAUCUUUCAGUUAAACUCUGUUUACUUGUUUCAAUCAAAUACUGAUUAGUUUAGAUUAUUUUAUUAUUAUUUGACCUAUGAAUUUAGCCUAUAAAUAGGCUCUUUUACAACCUUAGAAAAACACACCCAUUAGAGAUUAGAACUCAUAACACAUUUAGAGAAUUUUGUGUUUACGUUUUGUGGGUUCUUUUUUUUCGGGUUUUCAGGGUUUAGUUUUUAUCUCUAUCUUUUGUACUCUUCGUUCUUUUGCCAUUAUAGUAAAAUUAUAUUUGCCCGUGGUUUUUUAUCCUCUUUGAAGAGGUUUUCCACAUUAAAUUUGUGUUCAAUUUCUCAAUUUAUUCUCCUAUUUUCUUGGUCAUUACUUAAUCGGGUUAAAAUCCUAACAAGUGGCAUCAGAGCUAGUUUAAUUUUCAUAAAUCAGCUCGUUCAGAGAUGGCAACAACAAGGUUUGAAAUUGAAAAGUUCAAUGGUGAGACAAAUUUCAAUCUGUGGCAAGUUCGGAUGAUGGCAAUUCUAGUUCAAUCAGGCUUGAAAAAGGUUGUUACCGGGAAAAAACCUGAGAAUCUAAAUAAAAUAGAAUGGGAAGAGCUUGAUAAAAAGGCUUUGUCUGCAAUCCAGUUGUGCCUCGCGAAUACGGUAUUGCAGUAGGUAUUGAUGAAGAAGACCUCAUCCGCCUUGUGGAAAAGGUUAGAAACUCUUUAUGCGACUAAGUCUCUAGCUAAUCGUUUAGUGUUGAAACAAUGUCUAUUUACGUUUCGCAUGAACGAAUGUAAGCUUCUUAGAGAUCACAUCAGUCAAUUUAUUACUCUUUUAAAUGAUUUAAAGAAUGUUGAUGUUCAUAUUGACGAUAAAGAUCAGGCUAUGCUAUUAUUGUGCUCUUUACCCCUUUCAUACAAGUCUUGUAGGGAGAAUCUGAUUUAUGGCAGAGACAAACUCUCGUUCAAAGAUGUGAAGAGUCAUUUGUUGAGUAGAGACAAACUCGAUAAUGAGCUUCAUUUGGAUAGCAAGACAAAUAGGCAAGCUUCUGUUUUGGUAGCAUCAAAGUAACGAGAUAAAAUGUGUCGCUAUUGUAAAAAGUUAGGUCACGUCAAAGCAGAUUGUUAUAAACUGCGAAAUAAAAAAGCUGCUGAGAGUAACGAGGAAGAUGUAGCUGGUGCUAAUUUGGCCGAUGAAAAUGGUGAUGAUUUCUUGUUAGUGUCAACAAGCGAUAACACCAAGCUCACGUCCGAGUGGAUCCUAAAUUCAGGAUGUUCUUUCCACAUGUGUCCCAAUAGAGAAUGAUUCUCCACAUACAGUUCGAUUGAAUGUGGAGUUGUGCGCAUGAGAAACGAUUCAUCUAGUAAGGUAAUUGGUAUUCGUACUGUUAAAAUUAAGAUGUACGAUGGAAUGAUUAGGACACUCUCAAAUGUCAAGUAUGUGCCUGAUUUACGAAAGAAUCUCAUCUCCUUAAGUAUUUUAGACUUGAAAGGAUGCAAAAUCAACAUCGAGUCGAGCGACAUUAAAGUAUCUCGUGGAGCUCUCGUUUUGUUAAAAGGUAAAAGAACCGGCAGUCUUUAUAUUCUGGAAGGUUAUACAGUGACCAGUGAAAUAGGACGUCCCUCGUCCAUUACAGAGUUGAAGUCAACUUGUUUGGAGCGAAAGUAACUUGGUCAUAGGAGGGAAAAAUGUAUGACUGUUUCGUUGAAGAGAGGUUCUCUUUUGGAUGCAGGUUUUGAAAAGUUAGGGCAUUGUGUUCGUGAAAAUCAGACCCGGGUUAGUUUUGAUUUGGCAGUGUACAAGUCGAAGGCUAGAAGUCUUCCAGUUUCUAAGUACAAAUUCGACUCAAUUAAUUCCCUGCAGUUCAAGAUAGGCUCGUGGCGGGCUUUGGCAAAGAUGGUGUUGUGAAAAUAUGAGUCAAGGUGGAGAUUUGUUAAAUAUGACUCCUAUUUUUAGUCAAAUUAGAGAAAUAAUCUUUCAGUUAAACUCUGUUUACUUGUUUCAAUCAAAUACUGAUUAGUUUAGAUUAUUUUAUUAUUAUUUGACCUAUGAAUUUAGCCUAUAAAUAGGCUCUUUUACAACCUUAGAAAAACACACCCAUUAGAGAUUAGAACUCAUAACACAUUUAGAGAAUUUUGUGUUUACGUUUUGUGGGUUCUCUGUUUUCGGGUUUUCGGGGUUUAGUUUUUAUCUCCAUCUUUUGUACUCUUUGUUCUUUUGCCAUUAUAGUAAAAUUAGUUUUGCCUGUGGUUUUUAUCCUCUUUGGAGGGGUUUUUCCACGUUAAAUUUGUGUUCAAUUUCUUAAUUUAUUCUGCUAUUUUCUUGUUCGUUACUUAAUCAGGUUAAAAUCCUAACAACAAUAUAGUCAUCUUUCACUUCUAAGCUUAAAAUCUACUAGUUUAACACCAAUUUCUUCAAGAAAUCAUCAAUGGUAACUUUCAAAAACUUCAACAAUUUUGCAAAUUGGUACAUGGGCUAGCUAAAUCAAGCUCCCAUUACCUCAAAAGCAUAAAAAUUACAAGAAAAAGAUAUAGAAAUCUUACCAAUUGAGGGUUCAUAUGUUUAAAUUCUUUGAAACCCUUUUUAUUUCUUUUAGUUUCGGGGGAGUAGAAGAUGGAGAGAAAAUGUUUUUAUUUUUCUUUUAAUUUUAACUUAUAUACUUUAAUUAAACUUAAUUAGGAACUAUAAUUAAAUAAUCCUUAAUCAUAAUUAAUCAAAAUUAGUUGAACCUUACAUCAUUAUCCACUAAUUGAUGAAGCAAAAUGGUUUCAUUACCAUUUUUAUCCCUUUUCAAUUUAAAAAUCUAUAGUAAUAAGACUUUUACAAUUUAGUCCCUGUACCUAAUUAACUAUAAAUUUGGCAAAAUUACUAGACCAAAGUUUAAUAUAUUUUAAUACUAACCUAGUAAAUAUUAUUUAAUAUUUACGGGCUCAAUUUACGAAAAUGGGGUUUCGAAACUACCUUUUUUGGUACCAUUGAAAAUCAAGUUGCUACAACUCUCCCCCUUAAGAAAUUUCUUUCUCGAAAUUUACCUUAGAAAAGAUGAGAGUACUGAGAUUUCAUAGUCUCUUCUAGGUCCCACGUUUCCUUUUCUAUACUGUUUUGGCACUACAUCACUUUUACUAAUACUACCCGUUUGUUUCUCAAUUCUUUUAUUUCUCCAAUUAAAACCUUUAUCGGUUCUUCAUUAUACGUUAGAUCAGGCUAGUUAUGGAGGUAGAGUUAAUCGGUAUGCUACCAAUCCAAUUAUUUCGAGAAUCUCAUACAGCCCUAAUAAACCUCAGACUGAGUUUCCCAGGGUAAAAAUUUUAGAAAAACUUUAUCACCAAUCUCGAAUUUAAUGUCUUUUAUUCUUGAUUCAAUAUAAGACUUAUGACGUCUGAAAUAGCUUCUAAACAAUCUUGAAUAAUUAAGACAUUUUUCUUUUGUUUCUCGCAUCAAAUCUUCUCUUACCAUUUUUCUUUCACUCAACUUUGAUUAAAAUAGAGGAGUUCAACAUUUACAAUAUUUUAAAGCCUCGUGAUGUGUCAUUUUAAUACUCGACUGAUAACUGUUGUUGUAAAUAAACUCAACUAAAAUAGUCAUCUCGCUCCAAAGUCAAAUGGGUAUUUAUUAUCUUCAAAGCAAACAGGAAUUUUCGAUUUAGGGCAUCCGCCACAACAUUAGCUUUUCAAAGAUAAUAAUCUAUAAUCAUAUCAUAAUCUUUAAGCAAUUCAAGCCACCUGCACUAUCUCAAAUUUAUUUUUUUCUAAGUCAACAAGUAUUUUAGAAUUUUGUGAUUAACAAAGGUAUGGCAUUUCUCCCUGUAUAAGUAAUAUCUCCAAAUUUUCAAAGCAAAAAAAAAUAAAGAAAUAAAAAAUCACCGCUUCAAGUUCCAUAUCAUGUGUAGGAUAGUUCUGUGUCAGAAACGGUAGUUUUAGAACCUCAUUUCUGAUGAUCAAGUCCGUAAAUAUUAUUAUUUAAUAUUUACGGCGUUAGUGUAAAGUUUAAAUAAAGUUCUGGUCCUUUAAUUUUGUCAAUCAGAUGGUUAAUUAAGGUACAAAGACUAAAUUGUAAAAGUGGUAAAAAUUAAUCAAUAUGGAUUUUUAAUUAAUUGAAGGACCAAUUAAGCAAUUGGACCAAUCUCAAAGUUUUAAACGGUGGUGGAUGUUGUUUAUUAUCCACUAAAUUGAUUAAUUAAGGCUAAGAUUUACUUAAUUAAAUUUUAUUAAGUUAAAUUAGAUUAAUUAAUUAUUAAUAUAAGUAUAUAAGUUAAAAUAAAAUGAAAAACAAAGAAUUUUCUCAUCCUUUCAUCCUUUCAAGCUUUGUUACCUUAAUUGUUUAGUAAUUUUAAGUAUGUUUCUUGUAAUUUUUAUGUUUUUGAGGUUAUGAGAACUUGAUUUAGCUAGUCUAUGUACUAAUUUGUAAAAUUGUUAAAGUUUUUAAAAAUUUUUAUUGUUGAAUAUUUGAGGAAAAUAGUGUUAAUUUGUUAGAUUUUAAGUUUAGAUAUAAUUGGUAAUUUUUGAAAAAAGGAACUAAAGUGCAUAAAUUUCAAAUUUUAUAUUAAAAAAGUUAUAAAAUAAUAAAAUUGAGAUCGAUUUUAAAAUUAUAAGAACUAAGAAUAAUGUAGGCAUAAACAAACCUUCAAUGGAUAAUCUAGCCAUAAACAAGUACAAGUGUAAUUAGUAGGCUUCUACUAUUUAGACUUUCACCGGAUAUUAUUAUGAUCUUUACGUUAAAUAUAGCACCUUUGUUCUUUUUAACCAAUACCAUUGCAUUAAGGUUGUAUAAAUUUCUUAGCACCGGCAAAGAGUGGGGCACUCAUAAGGCUAAUGCCUUGUAGCUAUUUAUUUGAAUCUGCUAAAGAAACUUUAAUUUAUGUGCAACAUUUCAUAUGAUAUACUUAUUUAAAGGAUCAUAUCUCAUAUUCAUAUUCUACACUGUUCUUAAGACUUGCGCUUAUUAUUAUUCGUCAAAUAGGUCAUUAGACAAGAAUAUUAAAAGAUAGGAAAAAGAUGGAAGGAUGGGGAUUAGCUUCGGGCAAAGUGUCCCAUUGUGGUGAAAGAACUUGACAAAGAAAUGAAGAUAUAGCACUAAUAACCGAGGAUCAAAAUUACCGUAUGAUAAUAUAUCAGAACUUCAACAGAUCUAUAUGUACCUUUUCAUCCUUUGUAAAGGCUAAUCAUUCGUGUAUCCUUGUUAUAUUCGUGUAAUUUUUUUUAUCAUAAUUAUGUUUUAAUUUUUUUUUUCUUAUAUUCAUAUAGCUUUUGACAAAUGAAUAGUUUGGAUUAUACUGAUUAGUCUUUAGUAUGCUUUGUGUAUUCACGUCAUAUUUUAGUUAUUCUUUUAAUGUCUUUUAAUCAUGUAGAAUGUGAAAUUUGCAACACUAAGCUUUGCAAAGAAAUGAAAAUAUGGGUAUAGGUAUAAUCAUUGUAAGCUUAUAAUGGGAAGAGUUAACUAUAGUUAGUGCGAACUUCAUGUAGGUUAAAAAUAUAUUUGGGAAUUUCAUGCUAUGGCCUCAUAGUUAAAGGUGUUCACCAUCUUAAGUGUAAUCUAGAUUUGAGUCGCAUUAGUUACGUUUGUUGUUCGAAUUUUACCCUGUUAUGAUAAUUCACCAAAAUAUAAUGUUAGAAAAGUAGGGAAAUUUGCAUUGAUUAAUUUAUUCAAAAAAAAAUUUAUCCUCGAAUUUUAAUACGAAAAGCAUAUUUCAAUAGAAAUAAAAGAAAUGGAUGUCAAUUAAAUUUCGAUUGGAACAUUUGUGAAUAAUUGGAUUCAGACUUGAAAAGUAUGCGAUAGUUCUCCCAUCAAUUACACCUAGUUAUGGGUCAGAUUAUUCUUUUAUGCUCGAAGGUCCGUCCGAAAUUUGAGAGAGUUUGAGAAAAAUUAUUAAGCUUAGAUUUGGGCAAAAAAUUAAGCCCGUUUAAAAUAUGGAUUGGACUUGGGCUUAAACAUUUAAGACCCAAGCCCGGCCCAUUUGACUUGUUUUUAAGUUUAUAAUAUUUUAUAUUAUAUUUAUUUAUUAUGUAAUUUAUAACACAUUAAAAAAUAAACAUUUAUUAAAUAUAUAAUACUACUAUAAUAUAAACAUUAAAAUAAUAUUAAGAUGACUAUAUAAAAAAUAUCAAUAAAUAAAAAAUAUUAAAUUAAAAUAAUAUGAGUGGGCUUAAAAUGAGUUUAGGCUGAUCUUUUGCAAAUAUGAAUAGGUUUUGACAAAAUUUUAGUAUUAUAUUUCAAGUCAGACUUGAGCAAGCAUAAAGUAUAUUAAUAUUAUACUUAGACCCGACAUGAACUCAACCUAGUACAUCUAGUCCAAUGAGCAUCUCUAACUUCAAGUCCUCUAUUAUCAUAUUGAGAAAGGAUUGUAUGAAAUAAGUGUGCCACGUCAUCCUAAUCACUUUUUAAUUAUUUAAUGACAUUUCAUCAAAUUUUUUCAUGUCAUUAAUACAUAAUUUUGGUAUUUUUUUAACUUGAACCCAUAACCCUAAACCUUAUACCCUAAAAUUUUGAGUUUAUAAUUUAAGGUUCAAGGUUGAGGGUUUCAAGUUCGAAGUUCAAAUUCAAGGUUCGGGGUCUAGAGUUCGGGGUUCAAGUUUAAAAAUUUUUCAAAAUUAUGUAUCAAUGACAAAGAAAAAAUUUGUUAAAACGUCAUUAAAUAAUUAAAAAAAAGAUAUAAAAUGACGUGACACCGUUGUAAUUGUUGAAAUAUUAUUAAAUAAAUUUAAAUGAAUAUAAGAUGACUUGGUGCCCUAUUUAUUAUAAUCUUUGCUCUAUAACAUUAUAAAUGAAAAAAAUAUGUGACUUGAUUAGCAAGAAAAUUUUUAAUUUUAUUUAAAAAAUUAUAUUUAAAAUUUGGUGUUGAUGGAUUCUCUUUUAAUAAAAUAAUCUCUAAUGUUCAAUAGCUAAUAAUAUCUUUUUGUUCAAAUCAUGAUCAAUGAUAAAUUUUUAAGGAAAAUAAGCUAAAAGAUAAUAUUUUUUAAAAACAUCUAAAAGUCUUAUUAAAGAAAAAUCUAAAAAUGAAAUAUGUAUUUAUUUCAAUUAUAAUUCCUUCAACAAUCUAGAGUUCUAAGGGCUACUCACUUUGUAUCUUAGCACCCGCAUGCAUGAAUGCGAGUUAAAAGAACAUGAAUAAAUAAAUACACUCAUGUUAGAGGCAUAACCACCCAAGACCAUAUAAUAUACCUACAUUCAGGUAAUGUAUGAAUGGGGAAAAUCUACCAUUGAGUGAAAUGAUUGCACUACAUAUAUAAAUACCUGGUUGUGAUCCUUAUAUCCAAGUUUCUGCUCGUCACUUUGACGCUCUCGAACAUCUCUUCCGAUCAUAUCCUCUCCCAACCAGGUUAAAGGCUCGAAUAAAUACUCGGACUUCAUGUACAUAACAAAAAUCAGGAUAUAUAUUCAUCCCCAACAUUUAGUACUGGCACAACAGAAAUACCUACCGGCUUAUCCACAUGCAUGUACAAGAAGGAUACCCCAAUCAGCCCCUAUCAAAAAAUGGAAGUUGAUUGGAGAUCGUGAUGCGAGGAUAAGAUAUCAGCUUUAGUCAAUUCAUAGAAAAAUAUCAAAGGAUUUUGCUUAACCAUAAUGUUCUCAAACUAACAAUUUAGAUUCCUCCAUCGAAUGAUUUUGGGAUGAACCGUCAUAGUUCAAGCUUUUUGAGACGUCAAAGAAAUGUGCAACAGCUUCUUCGGGUGUCCCGACUAGAACUCCAUGACCCAAGUUAAGAAUGUGACCGCGUGGUCCUGCACACUUAACGACCCUGAAAAACAGAUUGCACCAGUUUAAACACUGAACCGAUGGGGCUGAUUUUCUUACAUUGGCCAUAACGAAAAUCAAACACAGUUUGAAAUGGCAAACCUUUGAAUUUCUUUCGUCACUGCAGAAAGUGGAGAAAACAAGUAAGCAGGGUCGACAUUUCCCUGCACACUGAUAUCGCUACCCAAACGCUUCCUUGCAUCAGCCAUAUCCACUGUCCAGUCAAGUCCAAUCACAUCAACCCCAGUUCCUUUCAUGCGUUCAAGAAGGCCACCGUUACCGUUAAUGUAGAGAACAAGAGGUGUUUUAGGGCAUUUAUUUCGUACUACGCUCACAAUCUGCAAUUGAAGGAACCCAAUAAAUGAGUACAAGGGUCAAAUUAAAAGGUAUAACAACAUAUUAUCUGAGACAAAAUUUCUCAAACCACCAAAUAGGAGUUGACUGCAUGUAGUAACUAGUGAUGGAAGAGACAAUUACCUAUUGAAGACAAAAGUAUGCAUAGUUUCAUUAUUUUCAUGACAAAAGUAACGAGAUCUGCUGUAAAUUCCAAUUUACCUCAGUUAUGUAAGGCUUUGACCAUUGCUCCCACAUGUCAGGUGGUAGUUGCCCACCCCAAGAAUCAAAUAUUUGUAUGCAAUGUGCUCCAGACUCCACUUGGUAAAUAAUGUACUCGGAUAUUGCCUUUGUUAAAUGAGAAAGAAGUGUCCUCAAUAAAUUUGGUGCUGUGUGGCACAUACUCUUUAUGGUUGUAUAAGUUCGGGUUGUACCUCCCUCUACUAUAUAUGUGGCGAUCGUCCAAGGGGCUCCAACAAAACCUAGUACUGCUGCAUGACCUCCAACCUACAUAAAAAUAGAAGGUACAAUAAAAAAUGCCAAUUAUAUUAAUCAGAAUUCUAGCUAUAACGCAUGAAAAAGGAGAGUCACCUCCUGGCACAAAAUCUUAAGUGAUUCUCCAACAAAGUGUAGCUUUUCCAAGUCAAUCGGAUGCAAUGCCUUCAAAUCGUCCUCAAAGCGAAUUGGUGACUGAAUAACAGGGCCCCUUACUUCUUCAAUGUCAAAUGGGACCCCAAAAGCAGGCAGUGGAGUAAGUAUAUCAGAGAAAAUUAUCACUCCAUCAGGACGGAAAGCUUCCCAAGGCUGCAGAGAAAUUUCCACAAUGAGAUCAGUUGUCUCUGACCUCUCUCUGAAGGAUGGGUGUUUCUCAGCAAGCUUUCUGUAAACAGCCAUAUACCUUCCUGCCUGCCGCAUCAUCCACGUAGGAGGCCGACUUACAGGAUCUCCUCUUGCAGCCUUAACCAACAAUGGAUCUAAAUAAAAGAUGAAUGGAGAUAAGGUGCGUAAGUUUAUAAUACCUCUGAAGGCCAAAGACAAGAAUGUUGUUGCCAUCACUAGCAUACCAACAUCAAUAACAAAAUUCGUUUUCCACUAGCAAGGAGAAAUAAUAGUCAAAUUCAUACAGGUUACACAAAAUUUCACAGCUUUUAGAACUAAGAACAUUCAUCAUAUUAUCAUCUCUUCAAAAAAUAAAAAAAUGUAAAACAUCACCUUAAUAAAAUUUGAUAUUAAAGCUCAAGAGCUAACUGUUAGAUCCUAAACCAAGGCGUACCAAUCCCCCAUCCAUGCUUCAACCAUUACAUUACUCAAAGAAAUAAGCUUAUACAAAGAAUGUAAUCCAUUUCCAGUCUGGCCUGGCCUUAUCUUCCAACCAGGUUGGCAUAUUCAGAACAAACAGUCUUCAUUAUCCAAAUAGAACCUUGACCACAUUUCCACCAUAAGGUGCCAAUUCUAGCUUCUCACAGAAUGCAUUCAAGUCUAAAUCAAAAUUCUCCUUAUUACUACCUUCAUAAUAUUCACUAAACACCCAAAAUAUUCUAAUAAAACCAAUGCAAUGAAUAAACAGAUGACAACCCAUUUUAAAUCAAUCCCUAAACAUAAGAAACCCAGACAACCAAACUAAAAGGGGGAAAAGAAAAACAAAGAGAUGGAGCAAUGAACUAUACCAGUAGAAGAGCAAGCUAUAGAAAACUUCUUAGUUUUUGUUCUUUUGGGGGAUGAAACAAAAGCUCCAGGGAACUUGUUAUUUUCAGCAGUGUGAAAACCCAACUGCACUAUCAAGCUUGAUGAUUUAACACCCAAGGAACUGCAAGCACUGCAUUUCAAACGGUAAAGAAGAAAAAAGAAUUAGGAAAAAUAAUCUAAACAGUUGAAAUCCAUUUCUUUUCCGUAUUGAAAUGGGAUUUUGACCUUGUUAAUGGAGAGAAGCUCAUUUUUCUUUUUAACUAUUGUUUUCGGGAAGAAUUUGGGACAGAUUUUGCGAGUUUAGGCGGAACUGCUCUCUGUUUUUGUUGACUCUGUUUUCUUAUCUUCGAAAAAAGAUCGAUGGUUCGACUUGGGUAUAGCAAGUUAAGUUGAUGGUUGUGAUCUUGCCACGUCGGAACACUGGAUAAAACAGGGCCCUACAUCGAGCACCCUUUUAAUUUCCAUUUUGUUUCGGUACAACUUAGAAAAACUUAAGGGUAAACAACAACUUUCAUCCUCUUAUAAAUUUUGUUUUUUCGAUUUAGUCACUACAUUUUUAUUAACACCAUUUUCACCAAUUAAAUAUUUAAUCCAAAUAUUUAAUUUUAUUAACACUAUUUUCACCGAUUUGUGUUUCCACAAUGUUUAUUUGGGAUACCAAUGGAAUAAAUUUGCAUAAUAAUAAAAAUAAAACUUACAACACACAGUUACAAAAGGACCAAUUCAAAAACCAAAACAAAUUGCAGAAUCAUGUCUAGGUUUGUACAAACAAUUGAUAGAAGCAGAUGCACCGACAGGGAUGAAUUAGGUUCACCACUAUCAAUAAUAACCAUUACAUAAAAAUUAUACAUCAUUCAUACAAAAAUAAUCAAUUUUUUUAUACUUUUAUGUAUUUUUGAACGGGAUAAAUACGAAAUUUAGUUUAAUAUGCAAUUUGACAAAUGAAUUUUGAGUUGAUACAAUUAUAUACAUAAAAACUGAAUUGCGAUUCAUAUGUAUACAUGAAACUUUGAUUUUGGUUCAUUUGUAUAUAUUUAAAGAAAUGAAUAUAUACAUACAUUUAUUGUCAUAUUGGAUUAAUAUAAUUGUUUUUGUAUGCAAUAGAUCAACAUAAAAUGGUGCUAAAUAUAUAACAUUACACAUUAGACCAAAGCUCAUGUAUAGUUUUGAUAUUGAUCUCUUUUUAAAUUAAUUAUACUUUUUUUGAAAUUUUUAGUAUUUAUAUAUAUAUAUUGGAUUCUUUAGAAUCAAUAUUAAAUUGACGAAGGCUAAAUCUUUUAGAAUUAUGAUCAAAAAAUAGAUGGAGCUCUCAAAAACCUUUGAUCCAAAUGGUGAUUGGUCAUGUAACUGCGGUUGACGAAAGGGUGGAGUAGUUUGUAUUGCUAAGAGUGAGAGAGGGUUUAGUUGUUUUUUUGAUAAAAAUCUGUUGAUUAAUUUUUAGAUUUAGAAUCAAAUUGAUAAAAUAUGUAAAUAUUAAAUAACUAAAUUAAUUAUUAGGCCGACAAAAAAAUAUCACACUACUUUUUCAUCACUCAUUUAAUGAUAACUAAUGGGGAAAUGACUAAAAUAUUAAACCAAAAUAGAAAGAAUGUUAUAAUUAGAUAAUUAUUCUUGUAAUUUACUUGAAAAAAUGCCCUUAAAAUCUCACUUUUUUUUUAUUUAGAUUAAGAAAUUAAUAAGAUGAAUUUUAUGUAGGGACAGACAAAUUAAAAAUAACUUAAUUUUAAAAUAUUUUUACUUAUUCCCAAAAAAAACUUUUAACUCAAUGUUUUUCAAAUUGAUAGCUUCGAAUGUAAAUAAAUGAAUUUGUUUAAAGUGUAAUAAGUACAGUACAAUUAAAGUAUAAAUAUAAAUAUAUGUCCUAGAUAUUAUAAGGCCCCGUUUGUUUAAUUGAAAAUGACUUCCAAAAAUUGAUUUCUGGAAAAUGACUUGUUUCUCUGGAAAAGCUAAUUUUUUUUUGUGUUUCGAUGAAUCUAUGUAAAAUAUUUUAUGUUAUUUGACAGAUUUAUUGAAAUAUUUCAUAAAAGCUACUUUUAGUAAAAUAAACCUACAUGUAACACCCCAAACCCGACCUAAACAUUAUGGCCAAAUCCGAAGGUGUCACAAGGAAUGGGUUUUAAAACGAGUUUCAAAUGAUAAAACCACUAACGUUUCCUUCCAACUCUUACUUGCUUGUAUCCAAUGUCAAAAUGUUGUUCAAUUACUUAUUUUGCCUUUAAACGUGAUUUUAGAGCAAAAGCUUUCGAAAACCAUUCUAUUUCAAAAACCCAGUUCGUAUUUUUAGAAACACCUUUUAUUUGCAUAAAAACUGUCAAUUUCAUAAAACAGUUUUAUCAAGCAUGCAGAAGAAAAACAACAAACCAAAGAUAAACGGUUAAAAAUCAUUAAGUCUGGAGAGUCCCAGAAAUUACAAACUCUUAGAAUAAAACCAAAAUCGUAAUUAAACCAUAAAUUAAUGACUUUAAAUAGUUUACGAAUGAGUGGUCACCGCUGAGUCUCUGCCGCACUAAUCCGCCUAAGCCUGUGGAUUACCUGACAAAAUAGACAGAUAGAUGUGAGUUUACGUAAACUCAGUGUGUAACCCAACAGAAUUAAGCAUGCAAACAUACAGCAUCAUAUACAAAAUCAGAAGCUGAUAUAGACUCAGUUUCAGAUUCAGAUUUAGAUAUCAUAUUCAGAUUCAGAUAGCAGAUUCAUAUUCAAAUAGCAGAUAUGCCAAGGUCCUAACCCCAUCUUCUACACACCAUCUCCGUCCAUCCCAUCACACCAUGUGGGGUUAAAAACACCCACCUAUCCCUACACACCAUAUUGUGCCAUUAAGACACAUUUCAGAUAAUACGCAACCGAGUUGCCAGAAUAUAGGCGACAUCUAAGGGUGAGCAUUCGAUCGAAUCGAAUGAAAAAAUUUCAAGUUAAUCGAGUUGACGAAUCAUAUUUUAUCAUCCUAAUUUGAUUUGAAAUUUUCUCGAAUUGAGUCGAGUGAGAUGAAAUUCGAAUCGAAUUGAAUCGAAUAUAUUUGUUCGAGUUAAAUUUUAAAAAAUAAUUUUGGGUCCAUGUAACCACUGUCACCCAUCGUAAUAAAAUUUAUCCACCGUAAUCAAUUUUUUUAUUAACUUUCAUCACCUUAUAAUUUAUUUAUUAAUCUUUUAUAUAUGGGUUAGCUUCUUUGCUUACUUAGUUGCUUCAAUUAUCUUCAUAUUUUUGUCACUAUGUAUUUUGGAAUUAAAAAAUAUAUUAAAUGUAAAAAUUUGAUUUUUUAAUAAAAGUUAUUUUAAAGAUAAAAUGUGAAAUUGAUACCAAUAUAAAAUUUUAACACGAAUAUUUUCUGGCAUCAUUAAUAAUUCAAUUUUAAUAUAAAUAUUCAAUAUUACUAAACAAUUCAAUAAUAUAAAUAAUAUAAAAUGUGAAAUUUAAUUUAAUAAUAUAAAUAGUAGAUAUAAAUAAAAUUAUUACUAUUUAUGUUUAGGGAUUUUUUUUGGAUAAUUUUGAUUUUUUAUUUGGAGUAAAGGGUGAGAAGUAAAAGUUUAGGGGGAAAAUAAAAAGUUUUAGAGAGUAAAAGUUUGAGAGAAAGUAAAUAGGGGGAGUAAAAUUUUGGAGGGAAAAUAUUAAAAAAAAUUAGGGGGGAUGGGUUUGGGGUAGAUGGGGGUAGAAUGGGAAGGAAGUAAAAGUUUUAAGGGGAAAGUGGGAGGGAUUAAAAAUUUGAGGGGAAAAUAAAAAGUUUUGAGGGUUUUUGGGAGUAAAAUUUUGAGAAAAAGUAAUUGGGAUUGUAAAAUUUUGGUGGGAAAUGGAUUUUGGGUAGAUAGGGGGGUUGGGAUAGGAGUGGAGUAAAAGUUUUGGGGGGAAAGUGGGAAGGAAUAAAAGUUUUGAGGGAAAAAUAAAAAGGUUUGGGAGUUUAGGGAAAAAAUGUAAAAUAUUAUAGUUUGGUAUUCGAAUUAUUCGAGUUAUUCGAAUUUAAAAACUCAACUCGAUUCAAACUCAAAUUUCAAAAAAAAAAUCGAGUUGACUCGAAUAGCUCGAUUCGUUUAACUCAAAAUUCAAAAAAAAAUUCGAUUUUAUCGAGUCGAAUCGAGUUUUGCUCACCCCUAGUGACAUUUGCCGUACAGAACACUUCCUCCAUAUAUAUACAAACCCCACUCCAGUCAAAGAUACAGAAUUAUCAGAUACAGUAUAACAGAUUAAUAUGAUCAGCAUGUUUAUAUACAGAUAAAAGUACAGACAGGUAUACAUUUAGUACAAUACUCAGAUCAGUCUAUCAAAAUAUCAUAGCAUACAAACUAGGGUUUAGUUAGUCUUUACUAACCCUACAGUUGGCCCACAGUCGAUUUGAGGGACCCGUGCGACCUUAGGGAAAAUUUCAGAAAAAUAGGCCCACAUGCCCAUGUGACAUGCCCGUGUAGGUCCACACGCCCAUAUGACCCACACGACCUGGCCUAAUAAUCCACACGCCUGUGUGACAUGCCCACACGCCCAGUUUGGCCUUGCCUGUGUGGCCCACACGGCCGUGUGCUGCGCACAGCCAUACCUUCGUUGACCACAUGGGGGGACCACACGUCCGUGUAGUGUCGACAGUGCAGUUUUUCUCAUUUUAGGAACACACCUGAUAUCGAUUUGAUGUGAAAACUAUCCCGAACCUUUCAAAACCUAAAAUCAAAGUAUCCAACAGUGAUUUAGCAGAUUGACUAACAAUUCGACAACAAGAGUCAACACGAAAUUGACUUACCACCGAUGAUAAACCACUUCCAACGUGCACUAAACUGCUAGAGUGAAAUUCCUUGCUCCUUAAUCUGACUUUAAACACGAAUCACCACCAAUCAAUCGCUACAGAUUGUCAUUGCUAAAAUCCCAAAUCAAAUGUUAAAGGAAAAGACGCCUUACCCACCCAACCGAUUAGAGAGCCCGACAACCAAUGGCACAAUUGAAAGAUAAAAUCACCAACAGAGCCAAAGAAGAAGAACAAAACAAUGAUUCCAAAAAGAAGAACAAAAAGUCAGACAGGGGAAAAACAGUAGAAAUUGACGUCAGAUUUCUCUAAAGGAGAGAGGAAAUUUUAGCAAAAAGAAAAGAAAAGAUAUCAGAUAACUCCCACAUCCCACUACAUCCUCAAUCACAACCACCUACUACUUAGAAUUCCAACACAAUCGAAACUCUAUCCCAAAGCUGAGCAAAAAUAACACCCUUGCUCACGUAGGUAUUUGAACUCAGAAUCUCUAACACACUAACUCCCUUACCACCACUUGAACCAGCAAGCUCAUUUUGAUAUAAAUUUACAGAUAAUUUAAUAUAAACCCACUGAAAAAGAAUAAGGCUUGAUCCAAAAAUAACAAAAUUAACCAAGAUCAGACCUUUCACACGCACCCAAAACACUUAACCACUGAAACAGAUACACACUUGUAUCAAAUACCCACAAAACAAAAAUAAGAAAGUCAGGGCGUUACACUACAUUUGAGAUUUUAUUAUAUUUUCAUUGUUUAAUUGAGUUUAUUUCAUAAAGCUUAUUUAUAUUUUAAUUAAUCAUAUUUUAAUUUUAAUUAAUCCUCAUUUACUUAAUUAAGCUAAAUUGUUAAUUUCGUACAUUAGGGAAUAUAAAUUUAUAGAUAAAAAUUUAUGUUUAAUUAAGCUGAAAGUGGUAAAUAUUUAUUUUGAAUAUUAUUUGGAUGAGUAAGUUGAAAAAUGAUUUAAUUUGAUAAAAAUUAAAGUAAGGGCCACAUUUUAAAUUUUGAAAAAAAAUUUGAAUUCUAUGUGUUUGAGUAGUAAAAUCUGAAACAUUGAUGUAGUAAUUAAGUUAUAUGAUUAUGAAAUAUGAACAUUUGGAAAGUUGAGCAUAAAAUAGUAAAAUUUGAAACUAUAGGGUCUAAAUUGUAAAGAUUUCAAAAAUUAAGUUUUAAGACUAACUUACAUUGUUUGAGAAUUUACAAUUUUGAGAAAUAGAUUAUGAAAGUUUAACUGUUCAAAAACCAAGGACUAAUGUUUUGAAAUUUUGACAAUUUUAGUUGUAAGAACUAAAUUAGAAAAUUAGAAAAUUUUAGAAAAAGAACUGUUUUGCAAAAUUGUACAAAACGAGGUUUAGGAUUGUAGAAUAAGAAAAUCUAUUUUUGAGGAAUCAAAUUGUAGAAUAGUAAAAAUUUAGAUUUCAAGGACUAAAUCGUAAAAAAUAUAAAAUUAGAAUAUAAGGGAUUGUUUUCUUCGACAGUGAAAAGAGCAUUCCCUUUUUUGCUCUAAAAGCUUCCUCUUUUUGUUUCUUCGACAGUAAAGACAAUGAACAGAGCUUUAUCAAUUUGGAAAAUGUCUUACGAAAAAAAUUUUUGGUAAGACAUUUUUUCUUAAAAAAGCAUUGAUUUUACCCUUUUUUUAGAGAAUGAUUUCCUCUGGUAAUUCAUUUUCCAUCAAAUAAGCAUAGUAAAAAAAUGGAAACCAUACAAACAAAUGGACCCUAAGUAUCAAUUUUUACAAACGAACUGUUUGAGUAAUCCCAAUGUAGAAUCAAACUAUUACAAUACAAACGAAAGAGUCCAAAUUAAAGUCAACAAAGUGGAAUAAUUAGACUAAAACUCACAAUGACAAUCACGCAUGAUAAGAUUCAAAGACCUACACAUAUAAUAUAAUUGCGCAUGAUAAGUCUCAUAAGUAUUUAAAAACCUCUAUUCAAAAAUACCUUGUAAUAAAUUGAGUCUAUUCAAAAUCAAUGUGAUCCCCUCUAUUUGAUAGGAUUGAUUUUAUUUUUCAAUAAAUAUUUAUUCUAUGUUCUUGUUUAAAAAAAUAUGAUUAGUUGAUUUUUUAUUACCUAAAAACUUAAAAAGGGAUUUUUUUUGUGAUAAAGAAAAUAAAUAGACUAGCUACAUGAACUAAACCCUUCCCCCCAACGGGGAAACCUCGAACAAUCACAAACCAUGACUUCUCUUAUGUACCAAAUUUACCAGGCUAUUAGCAUCCUGAUUAUAUUCUCUAGGUAUGUGUCAAAUACUCCAAUGACCAAUCUGUGAAAGCAAUUGAUGAAUUCUCUUAAUCAAAACAGAAUUGGAAUCAUUUGAAGGGCUCUCCUAAAUGGCAUUAGUCGCCUCAAUACUAUCCGUUUAGAUUAACACAUUAUUGUAGCCCCGAUCAAUUAAAAGGACUAACCCAUCCAAGAUGCCCCACAAUCCAGCAUUAAGAACUAAGUAGUUCCCCAAGUACUUUUAAGCCCAAGAAUCCACUUUCCAUUACGAUCAUGCGCAAUUCCCCCUGCUUCAGCAAAGCUAGCUUCAUACCUGAUUGAUCCAUCAACAUUCAAACAAACCCAAUUCUCGGCUAAAUUUGAACAAUGGGUCAUUUCUCGGGGAUUAAUUGUAGGACCUCUACCUGACGAGAUAUACUGUUUAGCCCAACUAUAAGAAACCUUAAUAAUGUCACUGCUACUCCGGGAUGUACCUUGAAAAAUGAAGAGAUUUCGAUUCUUCCAAAUGCGCCAAGUGAUAAUCCCAAAAAGACAUUGCCAAUCAACAUCACCUAAGAAAUUGUCAUGACAAGUUUGCAAGUUUGAUAUAAGUCGAAACCUAUAUUUCCAUUCAAUAGGAAUUAAAUGAUUCCAAAUAUUUCUCGUUGCGGGGAAAUCUCUAAUGGCAUGCAAUGCAUCCUCGAAAAUAUGCCCACAAACCUUACAGGUCAUAUUGUGUCCAAGACCUCGACCAACUCUCUCUAUAUUAGUAAGCAAUUGUUGCUUGAAACCAAGCCAAAUAAAGAAUCUAACCCAUUGAGGUCCUAAAAUUUCCAUGGAAUCUGCUACACUACUGCUUUCGAACUCCAAGAGCUUUCUCGAAGUUUCCCAUAGGCCUUUUGACAGAAAAGGAACCUGUCGAAGUACCACCCCAGAUAAUCCUAUCAACUCCUGUUGUUGAGUGAGGUGGAGGGAUCCCUACAAUCCUCCGGACCACCUCCUUUGGUAUCCAAAGCCAAAAGAGAUCAAGAUUCCAAGCGCCAUAUUCUGCAGUGUUGUAACACAAGGCUACUAAUGGCUUUUUUUUCAAUACAUUCAACAUUUUUUUAAUAAUUGGGAUUACUUGUUUUUAAUUUUUUAACUAAAAUUAAGUUGAAUUAGAGAAUAUAUUAAUUAAAUUGAAUUAUAAAAUAUAUUUUUUAAAAAGAAAACAAAAAAUUGUGCUUAUGAUUAUAUUUAUGAUUGGCUACUGCUAUGUGCUAUAUACUGUUUUUAAAUGGAGAGAAAGAGUUGCACGGGAAACCGUAUCCAAUAAAGGAAGAAGAAAAUGGGAUUUAUUUAAUUUCAAUAUAUUAAAUAUAGACGAAUGUAUCAUUAUUUUCUAAAAAUUAAAAUUUUUAAUAUAUUUUAAUAUAAAAAUGAGUUUUUUUAGACCUAAUAUUUGUACUUAUAGGAUAUUUAAAGGCAGUGAAUUUAUUAUUAAGGACAAAUAAAACCCAUAAUACCAUUAUAACAAUGAUUAUUAUUUUAUGUCUUAAAGAAUAAUUACAAUCCCAAUUUUAUAUUACUAUAUUAAGAGAUGACAAUAGGCUACUUCAUACUAUUACCCAACAAGAGUCUCAAGUGGUUUUUUAGAAAUAAUAAUUAAAAUAAUUCAAUUUUAUUUGUAAUCGAGAUUCUAUGGCUUUGGAAUGAAUAUAUAUUUCCUGUAAUAAUUAAAAUAAUCCAAUUUUAUAUUCUAUGGAGAAACAUGAUAUGUUUAAUUUUUUAUUAUUGAAAAUCAUGCAUGAAACUUUGCUUAUAACUGGAAUACACGUAAAAUAUUAUGGACCCAUUGCUAAUUCUUCCUCCUUCCAUUUCGAUGGACCCUCCUUCUCAUUCUUUUUUCUGGGUUUCGCUUGAUCAUUUUCACUAGCCACGAGGUCUCCCAGUUGUGAAAACUAUGUAUCCCAUGUUCAAUCCUAACACUAGUCCACUUUCAUAACCCAUUACUGCAAUUUUCCAAAUAAGUGCUAUUUCAGAUUCAUUAGCAACUGUUGAUGGAGGUGACUUUGGUUCCUGGUCAUUGCCACAUGUCAUUGACAAUGGGAAUCCACAUAGCCUGGAGUUGCCGGCGAAGGAAUCAUUUGAGAAAGUAUCGAAGUGAUUAGUUAACCGUAUAGGCCCUUCAAGAUUGUUAUGAGAAAGAUUCAAUGCUUCGAGAAAUGUCAAGUUGGUUAAUUGCAUUGGAUUCUUCCUUGAAGCUUGUUUGAUGAGAGGUCCAAUGAUUCAAGUGCCGCCAAUUUUUCAAGUGAAGGUGGGAUAUGCCACAACUAGAAUAGGUCAUAAAUUCGUUUAUGAUGUCAAGUUGGUUAAUUGCAUUAGAAUUCUUCCUUGAAGCUUGUUUGAUGAAGGAUUCAAUGAUUCAAGUGCCGCCAAUUUUUCAAGUGAAGGUGGGAUGUGCCACAACUAGAAUAGGUCCUAAAUUCGUUUAUGAAUCUAUUUACUCCUAAUGUUCAUAGUGUGGUAUACUUCAAUUUUUUCGAAUUGAGUCAAGUAAGACGGAAUUUGAAUUGAAUAUAUUUGUUCAAAUUAAAUAAAAUUAAAAGCAAACAUGAAGUGGAACACAAACAACUUGCACAUAAAUUACAAUCAUACAUUUUGCUAAGGACAAUCGAUGGAGACAUGCCUUUUUCAAUUUUUUGAACAAUAAUACUCGAAUGCUCUCAGAACAUAUCAAAUACUUCAAAAUUUAGCACAAGUGAUCCCAUUCCAAAUACAACAAUCUAUAUCCUCCUCCAUGGAUUUGUCUUAGGAUAAGAUUUAAGGUACAUAAAUUACACCCAAAGUACUAACCUUCUUGCCUUAUUCGAUCCAAUCUGAAUCACAUCCAUGCAAACUCAAAACAUAAAAACCAAAUCAUUUACCCAAAGUCAAUAAUAAUGCCAAUAAAGCAAUUUUUAUUUUUUCAUUUUAAUAACAAACUCAAAAUGAAAAACAAAGCCCAAUAAAACUGAAGCAUCAUCAAAGACAUGAAAUCAAACCCAAAAAUCUAAAAUAAAAGCGAAAAAAGUGCUUCAUAGCUGUUACAAUGGAUGGGACAAACCUAAAUUGUUAGGUCUGGGGUUAAGAAGAUGCAGAAAAUUUGAAGUGAAGACUAAAGAAAAUAGAGCAGCAAGAAGGAACAACUGUUUUGGUAAGCAAUAGCUUAGUAAAUGGAGGUUUAAUUUAUACCAUUUAGAUCCAAGGGCUAUAUUCUUUUCUUUCAAUAUAAAGGGUGAGGAACUGUAACGCCCCAAAAUUCUUUUUUUUUUGUUUUUGUUAAAAUGUGACACAAAAUAUGUAUUUGCUUUAGUGGUUAAGUGUUCUGGGGGUGUGUGUGAGGUUUUAAGUUCAAGCCUUGUCUUUGGUAAACUUUGGUAUUUUUCUAACUUAAGCUUUAUACUUGAUCAGUGGGCAUAUAUUAAGUUAUUUAUAAAACCAUAUCAAAAUGGGCUUGCUGGUCUCGUGGUUAAGUUCAGUGUGAGUUUGCCGAAGGUCUUGUGUUUGAAUCUCUGCGCGAGCAUGAGUAUUAUUUUUGCUCGACUUUGUGAUAGAGUUUCGGUUGUGAUGGAAUUCUGAAUAGUGAGGUGGUGGGAGGAAAUUUAGGGAUUGUGAUCAGAAUAGUUAUUUCCCUGAUUAUCUCUUAAUUAAUUUUGUUUCUGUUCUUUUCGAAAUUUUGGUCUCUCUUGGAAAUUCUGACGUGUUUUUCGUUUCCUUCCCUUUCUUCCUCUCUGUUUUUUUUCUCCAAUCGGUGUCAUCUUUUUGUUUCUGAUUAUUUUUCUCUACUUACGAUUUUCGUACGUUGGUAAGUGUUACUUCGUUUGUAUUGGUGGUCUUUUUGUUUAAUUCCUUUAGAGUUGUGUGGUUUCUUUCUGUUGACGUUGAAUUUACGUUUUGGCAGCAGUGAUUAGAGAGGGGUGUGUCCCUACUCUUGCAGAAUCAUAGUCUAUCAUUUGGAGUGUUUAGGGUAAGCGCUGAAUGCUUUUUUUAAACUUUUAUCUGUGUCGAAUUUUCGAUUUAAAUCAUGUUAUAGGAUUAAUAUUGAGCACUGAUAUGUCGACUUUUAGGUUUUGGAAGGCUCGGGAUAGCUUUCGCAUUAAAACAUACCAAGUGUGUACCCGAAAUGCAAGAAAAUAAGUUUUUGGCAAAAUCCAAAAACCUUACUGUCGACGCCACACGGUUGUGUAGUAGGCCGUGUGCGACAACAUGGGCGUAUGAUCGAUGAAAGCCAGACCGUGCGCACGACACGGUCGUGUGAUGGCCAAGGUGUGGCCAUGUCGGCCACACGGGCUAAACCAAAUUGGGCGUGUGGGACACAAGGGUAGUCCACAUGGGCGUGUGGAAAUUUUGGCCAGGCCGUGUGAUCCACACGGGCCAAGGCCAAUCUAGGCGUAUGGGCCACACGGGCGUGUAGGCCUAUUUAGCUAAACUGUUUCCUAAGAUUGUACGGGUAGCCCAAGUCGACUAUGAACCUACUAUAGGGUUGGUAAGCACUACUUAGACCCUAAAUCGUGUGAUUUGAAUAUGUGAUGUAUGUAUUGAGCAUGUUCAUUUAUGCAUGUUUACUGAUUUGUAUGUAUAACUGAUAACUGAAUUUUAGCAUGUAAGCAUGUAUUCAUGUAUAUCUGCAUUGAGCAUGUCUAGUUGUAUCUACAUUGGGGUGGGAUAAUUGAUUAUUGGAGGAAGUGUACUGAAAGGCUUUCAUGCCUAUUAUCUGGUAGCUCAGCUGCAAUAUUAUUGAUAUGUGCCACAUUCGGUACGACCUGGUGUGUAUGGCUAGGUGGGUGAUUUAAACCCCACAUGGUGUGUAGGGAUGGUCGAAUAUGGUGUGUAGAGGCUGAUGGGUAGGAUACUGAUUUUUGUUACUGUAUGCAUGUCUUCUGUGGGGAUUACACACAGAGUGUACGUAAACUCACCCCUUUCUAUUUUAACUAUACAGGUAAUCCCCAGACUUAGAAGAAAUGGUGCAGCGGAGGACUCAACGGUGACCACAUGUUUAUUUCCCUGCUUAAACUUUAUUUAUGGUUUUUAAUCUCUAUUCUUAUGGGUUAUUUUUUUAUGUAAUUUGGGACUUUUGGACAGUUUGCAUUUGUUUUGGAUUUUAAUUGUUUUAAUGAACUUUUGAACUGUAACGAAAACUCAGUUUUAUUAAACACAAUGUUUUUCCUAAACACGAAUGAUUUUCUUUAAAUAUCACGGUUUUAAAAACUUCCGCUACAGAAUAUGUUUUAAAACAAAUCAAAUUAACAAGAAAAUAGUUUUGAAAUUGACGAAUGAUAUAGACACUAAUAAACAGAAAACGAUUUAACUUGAUAAAAUCGAUUUCAAAUUUCAUUCCAUGUGACAUCGCCAGAUUUGGCCAUAACGUAUAGGCUGGGUUUGGGGUGUUACAUUUAGUGGUAUCAAAGCCAGGUUACAAAAUCAACUGUAGGUUUUGGGUUUUAAAAACUUGGUUUUAAAAAACUGAUUUCCAAAUGAUUUGAAAUGAUUUGACUGAGAAUGUGGUACAUUAAGUCUCCGGUACCGAUCCUGUAAGUAUUGUGAUAACCUGUUAUGACAUUAUAGGUAGUCUAUUCUGAAAACACUCAAAUUAGUGUAUACUGAAACUGUAGUGAAACUAAAACUGAAAGAGACUAUACUUGCGAAAAACAAACUCUGAAUUUAUGAUACUGCUUUUCAUAAAACUUCUGUUAAUAAAUACUGAAACUGUAACUGAUUCAUAAAAUUCGUAAUACAGAUAAAUUCGAAUAAACAUGAGCCCACGAGGCAUCCGUAGAUGCGGUACUGGAGGUCGAGGUAGAGGCCGUAGAGGGGCUCGAGCUUAGUCUUCUUCUCUGGGUAGCAUGCCAAACCUAGAUAUGAGUGAGACGCCGUUGUCACCUGCUAUUGAGACUGGGUCUCAAGAUUGCGUAGCUGGGGAUGACACAUUGCCCCAGGCUGUGCUAAGGAUACUAGAGAGGGUCGCUGGGCCCAACACUAGAUCUACAAUGUGGCUGAGUACUGGAUGAAGGCUAUUGAGAGGAUAAUGGACAUUCUAGACUAUACCCCUGAGCAGAAACUGAAAGGUGCAGUCUCGUUGCUUCGCGAAGAGGCCUAUCAGUGGUGCCUGAUUGUUAAGGAGGGCACUCAGCCCGGUCGUCUAUCUUUGGAGUUCUUUAAUUCGACCUUCCAAGGGAAGUAUGUGGGAGCAAGUUAUAUCGAUGCUUAUAGGCGUGAGUUUCUGAACCUUACUCAAGGAGACCGAUCUGUGGCUGAGUAUGAGGUCAAAUUUCUAAGACUGAGUUGCUAUGUGUGAGGUAUAGUGGAGUUUGAAUAUGAGAGGUGUGUCCGUUUUGAGGACAGCCUUAGGGAUAAUCUAAGGGUGCUGAUAGCUCUAUAGAGGGAGCGAGAGUUUUCCGUUUUGGUAGAGAAGAUGAAGAUCGCUGAGGAGGUUAAACGCACUGAGCGCCAGAACAGAGAUUGUGAGAGGGGUAAGAACAAGAGGGAUUCAGAGCCCUCGAGUUUGUUACAGACCUAAGAAAAAGGGUAGGACUGAUGGGCGAUUAGAGCUAGGCCCCCUGUUGCUCCUACUGGAUUGCCGCUGUGUGCAGAUUAUGGUAGGCGCCAUCAGGGCGAGUGUUGGAGAAGGACUAGGGCGUGUUUGAGGUGUGGGUCACUAGAGCAUCACAUUUGGGAGUUUUCGCUGAGGGCCGAUCAGGUGCAAGCCCCGGGUUCUGGUUGUAACAUAUCAAACUCGGCCUAGACGUUAUGGCCGAAUCUGGCAAUGUCACAUGAUAGGGUGUUUGAAAACUAUGUUGAUGUGAUAAAACUUUUUUCGUUUAAUACUUUUCUUUAUUUCUUAUUAGUUCUAAAGGAAAUCAUUUUACUUAUUUAAAACAUUUGUUUUAAAACGUUUCUCGUUGCAGAAGCUUUUAAAACAAAGCAGUUAAAGUAAUCGUGAGUUUAGAAAAUAAGUUAGCUUUUUGAAAACUUAACUUCUUAUGACUAGCAGUUAUAAUUCCAAAAAGUAAAAAUAAAAACCAAAUUUAAGCAAAAGUCCCAAAAGUCCUCAAAUUACAUCCCAAUAAUAAUAAAACCAUAAAAUAUAAUUUAAAAAAACGUAAAGUCCAAAAACUGUGGUCACCGUCGAGUCCUCCGCAGCACUAAUCCGUCUAGGUCUGGGGAUUACCUGUGCACAUUAAACAGAGAUGGGUAAGUUUACGUAAACUCAGUGUGUAAUCCCAUAGAAAACAAACAAUAGUAAACAUAGUGCAUAGUCAAAUACAGUUUUUGGGCCUAAUGCCCUUUCAGUAUCAAUAGCAGUUUGGGCCUUAGCCUAUCUUAGUACAGUAUUAAAUAUGCAGUAGGGCCUUAGCCCAUCACAAUAUCAGUAGCAAUCAUGUUGUGUUCAAUAAGAAAGUCCUACCCAACCAGCCUCUACACACCAUCAUCAUCCAACGCUACACUCCAUAUGAGGAUUAAAUCAACCCACCCAUCCCUACACUCUAAGUAGUACCGAAUACGAUACGAAACAGUAAUUUGUAGUUGAGCUGCCAGUAUAUUAGGCUUAAGAGCCUUUCAGUACACUUCCUCUAAAUAUAAUCAACCCAACCUCAUGCAAUGCAACAUACAAAUCAUGACAUGCUAUCUCAUGAUAUCAGUACAUAUAAUCAGUUCAAUAUACAUGCAUACUAUCAUCAUGCUCAAUAUAUAUAAAUCAAAUAGUUAGUUCACUCAAUUAGGGGUCUAGGUGAUGCUUACCGUCCCUACAGUAGGUUUACAGUCGACUUGGGUGACCCGUGCAACCUUAGCAAUCAAUUCAGUGAAAAUGGGCUCACACACCCAUGUGGCCUGCCCGUGUGGGUCUAUACGGCCCACAUAUGCCUUGGCCGUGUGGAUUACACGGCCUGGCCCAAAAUCCCACACGCCCGUGUGGCCCAUACGGCCUAAAUCAGUCUAGCCUGUAUGUCACAUACGGCUUACCUGGCCAUCACACAGCCAUUUCUUGUGCGCAUGGCCUAGCCUCGUCGAUCACACGCCCAUGUUAUGGCACAUGGCCUACCACACGGGAGACCACAUGCCUGUGUGGUGUCGACAGUGGGGUUUUCGACUUUCACUGAAACCCCAUUUACUGUAUUUUCGGAUACACACUUGUAUCAUUUUUAUGUAAAAGCAACUCCAAGCAAUCCCUAACCUAAUAUUUCACUCCAUUAAUCACUUAAACAAUCGAAUUGAACUAAACCCGAAAUAGGGUAUUUAUCUAUCAAAUGAAAAACCAUUACCUUAGAUCGAACAACGAAGUCUUUUCGCAACCACGACACUGAUCGAAUAACUUCAGCCUGUUAACCUUUUCCAACCAUAAAAUGAAUCCCAUUAACCACUAUCCAUAACCUAAAACGAAAAACAAUACUUACCACAGUUACCAGUAACGCACGAAAAAGUGCCGAAGAAUGAGAUGCAAAACAACGAUAGUAGGGAAAACAAAAUAAAAACAAAAACAAUAGUAAGAGUAGGAAAAGAAUUCGACAGAGAACAGAGAAGAAGAGAAAGAAAGAAGGAAGAAAAAAACAAAAAAAAGUAGAGGAGAAGAUGAUCAGUUUUUUUCUGCAGAGAGAAUUUUUGGAAAACUGUUUUACUCAAAUCCCGUCACCUACCUUAUCUCAAUCCCUAAAUUUUCUCUCUAAACUCCCAUUACACAUCCACCACUCAGAAUCCUAGUUCAACACAACUCUGUCCGAACUUUAAGCAAAAAUACUACUUAUUGCCAUCGCAGAGAAUCGAACACAAGCCCUAUAACACACUAACACUCCACUUAACCACUAGACCUGCUAGCCCAUUCUGAUAUGGUUUUGCAAACAAUUAAAUAAAAGCUUAUUGAACAAGAGUGAAGUUUAACUUAGAGAAAUUUCAAGAUUUGCCAAAGGCAUGGCUUGAACUUGGGACCUCCCACAUACACUAAGAAUACUUAACCAUUGAAGUAGACAAAUAUUUGCGUCAAAACACCAUAGAAUCAAAAAUAAAAAUUUUGGAGCAUUACAACUCUACCCCCUAAAAGAAUAUUUCUUCCUCGAAAUUUACUUGAUCAGAAUAGAUGAGGAUACUACUGACACAUCGACUCCUCAGGUUCCCACGUGGCCUCCUCAGUGCUAUGAUUCCUCUAUAGGACCUUUACCAGUGGAAUGGGUUUCCUUUUCAGAACCUUAACGUUACGAUCGAGAAUCUAAACUGGCUCCUCCUCAAAGGUCAAGUCUGGCUUAACCUUAAUCUCCUUAACAAGGAAAAUAUGAGUAGGAUCAGAGCGAUAGUGCCUCAACAUCAAGAUGUGAAACACAUUAUGAAUGCAGUCUAGCUUUGGAGGUAGCUCCAACUGAUAAGCGACCGGUCCUACUCGCUUCAGAAUUCGGUAAGGCCCAAUAAACCUAGUGCUCAACUUGCCCUUACAACCAAACCUCAAAACCUUCUUCCAUGGCUAGACCUUGAGAAAUACGGAGUCCUCCACAGAAUACUCAAUCUCGCGUCUCUUCAGGUCCACAUAAGACGUCUGCCUAUCAGAAGCCGCUUUCAAACUAUCCCGAAUCAAUCUAACCUUAUUCUCUGUCUCAAAGACCAACUCAGGACCCAGAACACGUCAUUCACCCAACUCAGUCCAACAUAAGGGAGUGUGAACUUGCGACCAUACAGAGCCUCGUAAGGUGCCAUCUGAAUGCUGGACUGGAAACUGUUAUUGUAAGCAAACUCUGCUAGUGGCAGAUAGUCCUCCCAACUGCCUCAGAAAUCAAUAGCACAGCUCCUCAACAUAUCCUCCAGUAUCUGAAUCGCCCUAUCAGACUGACCAUCGGUCUGAGGAUGGAACGCGGUACUGAAGUCCAACCUUAAACCCAGAGCCUUAUGCAAAUUUCUCUAAAACUGAUACGUGAAACGAGGAUCCCUAUCAAAGAUGAUUGAAACUGGUACCCCAUGCAGUCUCACUAUCUCAUAAAUAUAAAGCAUCGCCAGCUUCUGUAAAGAAUAAUCAGUACGAACCAGUAUGAAGUGAGCGAACUUGGUUAAUCGAUCCACGAUGACCCAUACUGAAUCCUUCUUAGUGGGUGUUAAAGGCAACUCACUAAUGAAAUCCAUUGUUACCCGUUCCCAUUUCCAUAAUGGAAUCUUAACUGGCUGCAGCAAACCCGAAGGUAAUUGAUACUCAGCCUUAACCUGUUGGCAUGUCAGACAUCUAUCCACAAAAUAAGUAACCUUCCGUUUCAAUCCUGGCCACCAGUACAACUCUCAAAGAUCUCGGUACAUCUUAUUCCCACCAGGGUGCAUAGCGUAAGGGCUACUAUGCUCCUCUCUCAGUAUAGACUAUCUUAAAUAGGAAUCAUUCGGCACAUAAAUCUGGCCUCGAAAAUAUAUCACACCCUCAGAGUUCAACCCAAAGUCCGUAGUGCUACCACUCUCAAUCCAUUGGAACCGAAGAUCUAAAGACUCAUUCUCCAGCUAUUUACCUUUAAUCUACUUAAUCCAAAUUGGUUUGACUUGCAGUUCAGCCAACAAACUCUCAUCGUCAAACAAGCUAAGUCGAGCAAAUAUCGCUCUCAAAUCUAUCAUAGCCCUACAGCUCAAUGCAUCAGCCACCACAUUAGCCUUGCCAAGAUGGUACUCAAUGGUACAGCCGUAAUCCUUAAGCAGCUCAACCCAUUUAUGCUGCCUAAGAUUCAGCUCCUUCUGAGUAAGAAGGUACUUGAGGCUCUUGUGAUCAGUGUAGAUGACACACUUCUCACCAUACAAAUAGUGCCUCUAGAUUUUCAGAACAAAAACUACAGCGGCUAAAUCCAAAUCAUGCGUCAGAUAAUUCGCCUCAUGUGUCUUAAGCUGACGAGACGCAUAUGCUACCACCUUACCAUCCUACAUCAACACACAUCCUAAAUCGGCAUGUGAUGCAUCACUAUAAACUGUAAACCCUUUUCUAGAUUUAGGCUGUAGCAGAACAGAAGCCUUAGUCAGUACAGUCUUUAGCUUCUCGAAGCUCUCUUACUAUACAUCCGUCCAGUCAAAUGGUACACCCUUAUGUAGCAGCUUAGUUAAGGGUGCUGUAAUCAAUUAGAAGCCUUCUACAAACCACUGAUAAUAAUCCGCCAGUCCCAGAAAACUACGAAUCUCAGACACAUUCUUAGGCUGCUUCCAGUCCAACAUAGCCUCAAUCUUUCAAGGGUCAACACGAAUCUCCUCAGCAGAAACCACGUGACCCAGAAAUGUCACCUCACGUAACCAGAACUCGCACUUUUUAAACUUAGCAUAGAGCUACUUCUCCAUUAAGGUCUGAAGAACAACCCUAAGGUGCUCGUCAUGCUCAUCCUCAAUCCUCGAAUAAACCAGUAUAUAAUCGAUAGACACCACAACAAACUGAUCCAGAUAAGGUUGAAAUAUUCAGUUCAUCAAAUCCAUGAAAGCUGCUAGUGCAUUAGUUAGUCCAAAUGGCAUCACUAAGAACUCGUAGUGACCAUAAUGAGUCCUAAAUGUCGUCUUAUGCAUAUCAACCUCCUUAACCCUCAACCAAUGAUACUCGAAACACAAGUCAAUCUUGGAGAACAUAAACGGCCCUCGAAACUGGUCAAAUAGAUCAUCAAUCCUCAGAAGUGGACACUUGUUCUUAAUGGUCAGCUUGUUCAGCUGACGGUAGUCGAUACACAUCUCCAUGGAUCCAUCAUUCUUUUUAACAAACAGUACUGGUGCUCCCCACGAAGACACACUAGGAUGGAUGAACCCACGAUCCAAUAAUUCUUGAAUCUGAGCCUUAAGCUCCGUAAGCUCUUUCGGUGCCAUUUGGUAGGGAGUGAUAACACUGAAGCUGUACUAGGAAGGAGCUCUAUCCUAAACUCCACUUCAAGAUUCGGAGGUAACCCUAGUAACUCUUUAGAAAAGAUGUCCAAAAAAUCCUUUACCAUUCUAAUGUCUUUAACAAUAAUGUCCCCAGAAUCAAAAACACUUACGUAGGCCAAAAAUGCCUCAUAUUCCUUACGAACCAAAUUCUCCACCACCAAUGCAGAGAUCAUAUUAGCUAAAUAAUUUUGGUGCUUCCCAACCAUGACUACCUCAUUAUCCUCCUCAGUUCUCAAGAUGACCCUCUUCGUCGCACAGUCUAGACUUACUCGGUGCUUCACCAACCAAUCUAUCCUUAAUAUCGUAUUGAACUCUCCAAAUGAAAGCUCCAUCAAUACAGCCAGAAAUACCGUCCCUUGAACCUUUAAGGAACAUCCCUAUAUAGUUUGCUAACUCUAAUCGAUUGCCCCAGGAGGCUUAGUACGGUGACCUCACUUGUAGUGCUCUCAACUGAUAACCCCAGCUUUUCAGAAACAGAGUAGACUAUAUAGGAAUGGGUAGAUCCUACGUCUAUCAAAGCAAAAUAUGGUACAUUAAAAAUAAGGAACGUACCAGUGAUAACGUCCAGAGUAUCUCUGUCCUCUCAAUGAUAUGUAGCAUAAACAAGAUUAGGCUGCCUUGCCUAAGUCUGUCCAGCACCUCUGCCCAGUACUCUCUGUGUACGGUUCAUACUGUUACCACUCCUAGCCUGACCAUAGCCUCUCGGCAGCUGUUGUACUACCCUCUGUGGCUGUACAGUACUAGUACCUUGAGCUUGCAUCUGAUUGGCCCUGAAUGGAAACUUCCUAAUACGAUGAUCCAACAAUCCACACCUCAAGCAUGCUUUAGUCCUCCUUCAACAUUCGCCCUGAUGGCGCCUACCACAAUCGAUACAUGGCUGCAGUCCAGCAGCAGUAACAGGGGGCCUAACUCUGACUGGCCCAUCAACUCUGGCCUUUUUCUUAGGCUUCUGUACAGAACUCAAGGGCUCUGAAUCCCUCUUGUUCCUACCUCUCUCUCUAUCGCGAUUUUUGCGCUCAGUGCGUUUAACCUCGUCAGUGAUCUUCGCCUUCUCGACCAAGGCAAAAAAAUCUUACUCCUUCUACGGAGCUAUCAGAACCCUCAAGUUAUCCCUAAGGCCAUCAUCAAAGUAGACGCAUCGCUCAUACUUAGUCGCCACCAUGCCUCACACAUAGUGGCUCAGUCACAAGAAUUCGGCCUCAUACUCAGCCAUAGAUCGAUCUCCCUGAGUAAGGUUCAGGAACUCCCUCCUACGGGUAUCCACGUAACUCGUCCCUACAUAUUUCCCUAGAAGACAGUCUUAAAGAACUCUCAGGUCAGACGUUCGGGCUGCGUGCCCUCCUUAACAGUCAGCCACCACUAAUAAGCCUCAUCCCAUAGCAGAGAGACCGCACCCUUUAGUUUCUGCUCAAGGGUCCAAUCCAGGUCAUCCAUAAUCCGCUCCGUAGCCUCUAUCCAGUACUCAGCCACAUUAGGGGUGACUCUAGUGAUACCUCUGAAAAGUUCAUCUCCAUUGGAUCGGAGUCAUUUCGUAGCUGACCCUCAGCCUCCAGAUCUAGUAUUGGGCCUAGCGACCCUCUCCAAUAUCCUUAACAUGGCUUGGGGUAGUGCGUCGUCCCCAGCUGCACAGUCUUAUGACCCAGUCUCAGUGACAGGCGACACCGGCGUCUCACUAGUGUCCUGAUUUGGCAUACUGCCUAGUGAAGAGGACUCAGCUCGAGCCCCUCUACAGCUUCUACCUCGGCGUCUAGUACCCCUUCGCGAGUACCUCGUGCGCUUAUUGUCUAGUCGCGUUUAUCUAUAUUAAUAGUUUUAUGAUUUAGUUACAAUUCAAUAGUUAUUAGUAGAUGUUUUAUGGAAACAAUUUCAGUAGUUCAAAAUUUGUUUUCAUUUGUCGCAGUCUCUAGUAGUUUACUAUAGUUUUAGUUUAACUACAGGUUUCAUUAUAUAUUAACAAGAGUAUUUUCACAGUAUACUACUUAUAGUAGCUUCAGAAUAGCAUAGUAUUUUAAAUUAAAGAAUAUAUCAGCUUCAAAAUACAUACAGGAUCGGCGCCGGAAACUCGGUGUACCAUAUACUCAGAAGAAACAUUUUAAGUCAUUUGAAAACCAAUUCUUAAAAGACCAAAUUUAAAACCCCUAAUCUACAGCUGAGUUUUGUAACCUCACUCUGAUGCCACUAAAUGUAACACUCCAAACUCGGCCUAGACGUUAUUGUUGAAUCUGGCAAUGUCACAUGAUAGGGUGUUUGAAAACUAUGUUGAUGUGAUAAUACAUUUGCUGUUUAAUACUUUUCUUAAUCUCUUAUUAGUUCUAAAGGAAAUCGUUUUACUUAUUUAAAACAUUUGCUUUAAAACGUUUCUCAUUGCAGAAGCUCUUAAAAUAAAGUAGUUUAAGUAAUUGUGAGUUUAGAAAAUACAUUAGCUUUUUGAAAAGCGAACUUCCUAUGACUAGCAAUUAUAAUUCAAAAAAAAUAAAUAAAAACCAAAUUUAAGCAAAAGUCCCAAGAGUCCUCAAAUUACAUCCCAAUAAUAAUAAAACCAUAAAACAUAAUUUAAAAAAAUGUAAAGUCCAAAAACUGUGGCCACCAUCGUGUUCUCUGCCGCACUGAUCGGUCUAGGUCUAGGGAUUACCUGUGCACAUUAAACAGAAAGGGGUGAGUUUACGUAAACUCAGUGUGUAAUCCCACAAAAAAAACAAUAGUAGACAUAGUGCACAGUAAUAUACAGUUUUGGGCCCAAGCCCCUUUCAAUAUCAGUAACAGUUUGGGCCUUAGCCCAUCUCAGUACAAUAUCAAAAAUGCAGCAAGGCCUUAGCCCAUCACAGUAUUAGUAUGCAUUAGGGCAUUAGCCCAUCACAGUAUCAGUAGAAGUCAUGCUGUACUCAGUAACAAAUUCCUACCCAACCAGCGUCUACACACCAUCUCAGUCCUACCCUACACUCUAUGUGGGGAUUAAAUCAACCUACCCAUCCCUACAGUCCAGGUAAUACCGAAUGCGACAGAAAAUAGUAAUUUGCAGCUGAGCUGCUAGUAUAUUAGGCUUAAGAGCCUUUCAGAACACUUCCUCCAAAUAUAAUCAACCCAACCUCAUGGAAUGCAACAUACAAAUCAUGACAUGCUAUCUCAUGAUUCAGUACAUAUAACCAGUUCAGUAUACAUGCAUACUAUCAUCAUGUUCAAUAUAUAUAAAUCAAACAGUUAGUUUACACAAUUAGGGGUCUAAGUGAUGCUUACCGACCCUACAGUAGGUUUACAGUUGACUUGGGUGACCUGUUCAACCUUAGCAACUAAUUCAGUGAAAAUGGGCUCACACGCCCAUGUAGCUUGCUCGUGUAGGCCCACACGCCCGUGGGGCCCACAUGGACCACAUCUACCUAUCCACACGGCCUGGCCAAAAGUCCCACACACCCGUGUGGACUACUCGUGUGGCCCACACGCCUGUGUGGCCCACAUGACUUAAAUUAGUCUAGCCCGUGUGUCUCACACGGCCGUGUCUUGCACGCACGGCCUGGCCUCAUCGAUCACACGCCCGUGUUAUGGCACACGGCCUACCACACGGGUGACCACACGCCCAUGUGGCGUCGACAGUGGGGUUUUCAGCUUUCACCGAAACUCUCUUUUCUUCGUUUUCGGGUACACACCUGUAUCGCUUUCAAUGUAAAAGAAACUCCAAGCAAUCCCUAACCUAAAAUUGAUCAAUAUUUCACUUUGUUAAUCACUUAAACAAUCAAAUUGAACUAAACCCGAAACUGGGUAUUCAUCUAUCGAAUGAAAAACGAUUACCUUAGGUUGACCAGUGAAGUCUCUUCACUACCACGACACCGAUCGAAUAACUUCAGCCCUUUAACCUUUUCCAACCAUAAAGCGAAUCCUAUUAACCAUUAUCCAUAACCCAAAAUGAAAAACGAUACUUACCACCCUUACCGAUAACACACAAAAAAGUGUCGAAGAACGAAAUGUGAUGUAACACCCCUUACCCGUGUCCGAUGUUGGGACAGGAUAUGAGCCAUUAUGGGACUUAAACAUGACCAAUCAUACAAAAACAAGUCAUAAAAUUUUCAUUCAAAUCGAUUCCAUUCAUGCGUAUGCAAAUUGUCCCUUAUAUGGACCUACGAGACCCAAAACAUACGUUGGAAGUGGUUUGAGACUAAACUGAAAACAUUUGGAACUUUUACUACACUUAGGAAAUUUUUUCAUACUUUGGAGUGUCACAGCCCGUGUGGGUAGGCAGUGUGUUUACACAUGCCCGUGUGGCUUGGGACACGCCCGUGUCCUCAGCCCGUGUAACUCUCUAACUAUGACAUCAUCAACAAAAUAAGGUCACAUGGCCAAGUCACACGCGCGUGUGCUUAGGCCGUGUGGAAAAUUAAAUUCCAAAAAUUAAGUGUAGUCUUCACAAGGCCUAGGCACAAGCCCAUGUUCUGAGGCUGUGUCUUUCACAUGGCUGAGACACACGACUGUGUCUUUGCCCAUGUGUUUACUAUUGGGCAUUCUGUUUGCAUUAAUUAGGGUGCAGGGGACACAUGGCCCGAUCACACGCCCAUGGGGCGGACCGUGUGUCACACACGGCCUAGACACAUGCCCGUGUAUCUACCCGUAUGGACAAUUACAAGGAUAUUUUCCAAGCCAAUCGCCACCCUUAUUUGCACAAACACAUACGUGACUUCAAGGGCACUUAACAUAGCAUAAUUGAACACUUAAAACAUACACAAAUAGGACAUGAUCAUGAUCAUUCCAUCUUUACUAAUACAUGCAUAAAACUUCAUACUUUGUCAAGCCAAAUUCAUAAAUUUGCAUGCACUAAGGGUUGAAGUUUACUUCCAUGUAACAUACUCAUGUCUUAGUUAUUAUCAUGCCACUCACUCACAAUUCCAUCAUCGAACAUCCAUAGUCACAUCCACAAUCCAUCCAUGCCAAACAAUUUUAACCACAUCAUGUAUGACAUUGGCACAUGCAUACAUAUAUGAAUAAGUUUACAACCAAAUAAUCAAUAUGAACCAUAUGUCAUGGCCAUAUAUAAAAUGAAUCACCAAAUCACUAUAAGCCAACACAUUUGGCCAAAUUGAUAAUGACAUAAUUAAUCAAAAGACGAAGUCCCUAUACAUGCCAUAAACUUAAAAUACUUGUGUUCACUUAUACCCAAGUGAUAGCUUGAUAGUGUGAUGGCAUCUCCGGUGGUCUCCAACCCGAGCUAGCUAAAUUAACCUAUAAAACAUGGGAAAGGAAGGGGAGUAAGCUUCAAAGCUUAGUAUGUAACACCCCGUACCCGAGUCCGUCGCCGGAGUCGGACACGAGGGGUUUGCAGACUUAAAUCACUUCUUUGCACAAUCCAUUUUAAAAUUUUCCAGGCAAGCUGGCUAACUGCGUCACUAUCGCCUUAAAAAUCAUAUCUUGAGUUUCACAACUCGAAAAUCAUUUUUGUGAUUUUCCCUGAAACUAUACUCAUAUAUGCAUCUACAAAUUUUUUUCUAGAAUUUUUGGUCAGACCAAUUAGUACAGUUUAUUAGUCAAAGUCUCCCAUGUUACAGGGAUCGACUACACUGACCUUUGCGCAUUACGACUUGGAUAUCUCCAGGUAAAGGGCUUCAAUACUGAUGUCGUUUCUUUCUAUAGAAACUAGACUCAAAAAGGAAUCUAUUAAUAUAUGGCAUGACGUCUAAUUAUCUCUGGUUAAUUUAUAAUGAAUUUCCAAAGUCGGAACAGGGAAUCCAGAAACCGUUCUGGCCCUGUCUCACGAAAACUUUAGCAUCUCAUAAUAUACUGUUCAUAUGAACGUUUCGUUACUUUCCUAUGAAAAUAGAUUCAUCAAGGUUCGUUUUCAUAAUUUAUUCACUAUUUAAUUCCAUUCCUACUAUUUUUAGUGAUUUUCCAAAUCUACAUCACUGCUGCUGUCAGCUUCUGCCUUUAAGGUAGACUUUACCUAUUUCAUAGUUUCCAUGAUUCAACUAGCCCUUUUAGCAUAAAUAGCACAAAUUAUGAUAGUGAUUAACCAUUCCCAUGGCCAAUCCUUGUUAAGCAUAUCCAUACCAAAUGAUGAUAACAUUAUGCUCAAACAUAUAUAAGCCAUUUUCGCAUGGCUAUCCAAAAUUAUACAAAUCCAAAGGGUCCAUGACCCACAACAAAAAGGGUAGUCCUAUACAUGCCAUUUUCAGAGUUCAACCAAAAGUGUACCAAAAGGGUUUUGAUAGUGUGGGCGACUUCGACUUCAAUAAUCCCGAGUCCGAUAGCUGACGAACCAAAAUCUAUAAAACAGAGAUUCAAAGAACGGAGUAAGCAUUUAAUGCUUAGUAAGUUUUAAGCAAAACAAAGUGUUCUCAAUCACUAUCAUUGGUCAUUCAUUUCAACUGUUCGAUGAAGUUAAUCUAGAGCUUCAUCUCGAUCUAUAAUAUCAUUAAACGCAACACUUGGCUGCCACAUAUAUACUUUCGAAUAAUAAUGACCUAGAUGGUCAAAUAUUUCCAAAGCACAUUCUUCAUCGAUUUUCAACUUUCAAUAAUCCUUUCCACUUGUUCAUAAUCACAUCCAUACUUUUAAGUAUUUCAACAUGACAAGUACUAAAUUACCAUAGGCACAUAAAGAACCAACAUAUUCCUUAUCACAUAUAUGUAAGCUUACAAAUCAUAAUCCUUACCUUGUACUGGCACAUCUAGCUCAACCCAACCCAUACUCAGAUCAUAAGGCUUUUGGGCAGAAUAAGCACUAAUACAUAAGAAUAUUUCAUCGCAUACUUUAUUAUACAAACAUACCAUUACCAAUUAGAUCAUUCUCACAUUUGGAGUUAUAAUAUUAAUCACAUUUACCUACCUCUUUGAUACUGAUAAUUCACCUCGAAAUCACUCCACCGAUGAGUAAGUAAUACGUACCUGAACAUCUUGAAUACAUAAUACUUAUUUGAUGGUAACUUAAUGCAGAUACUCAAUAUCAAAGUCUUACUUGAAUCCUAGCAUUUAGCCGUCGGGUCUUUAAAGCUCGGAUAUAGUACGAGCACGAAGCCUACGGACAUUAAUCAGGAUAAUAUUCUCGCAUAAAGCCUGUGGGGUUUUAACCCGGAUAUAGUACUGACACAAUUGCCCUUCGGGACUUAUCACAUUUAUACACUUCCACAUCCAUCACAUUGGCCAUUCGGCCUUAUCACAUAUAUACACUUUCACAUUCAUCACAUUGGCCAUUCGGCCUUAUCACAUAUAUACACUUUCACAUUCAUCACAUUGGCCAUUCGGCCUUAUCUCAUAUAUGCAUGUUCACAUUCAUCACAUUGGCCAUUCGGCCUUAUCACACAUACACAUGUUCACAUUCAUCACAUUGGCCAUUCGGCCUUGUCACACAUACACAUGUUCACAUUCAUCACAUUGGCCAUUCGGCCUUAUCUCAUAUAUGCAUGUUCACAUUCAUCACAUUGGCCAUUCGGCCUUAUCACACAUACGCAUGUUCACAUUCAUCACAUUGGCCAUUCGGCCUUAUCACAUAUAUAUACACUUUCACAUUCAUCACAUUGGCCAUUCGGCCUUAUCACAUAUAUACACUUUCACAUUCAUCACAUCGGCCAUUAGGCCUUAUCACAUAUAUACACUUUCACAUUCAUCACAUCGGCCAUUAGGCCUUGUCACAUAUAUAUACACUUUCACAUUCAUCACAUUGGCCAUUAGGCCUUAUCACAUAUAUAUACACUUUCACAUUCAUCACAUUGGCCAUUCGGCCUUAUCACAUAUAUACACUUUCACAUUUAUUCAAAUAUACUUCACAUAUCACAUAUACUAUCAUGUACACACUUUGUAUUGACCGAAUCUACAUUAAUCAUUUCCCAAUGAAUAAUUCAAUUUUACGCCAUACUAUCAUUUCAUAUUCGAAUACUCAUAAGCUUACAAUAUAACGAUUUAGAAUUCAAGUAUGGGUUUAAUCAAUAGCUUAUGAGCAACUAAAACAAGUUUUAUCCAUGUUUACAACAAAAUCACAUAUUCACUACGAGCUGUUUUCCUGAGCAAUGGUCACUAAAUUAUUUAUAAACGGAGCUACAAAACUCUAAAUCACUUUCCGUUAAUUUUUCCUGAAUAUAGACUCGUAUAUCUUCCAUCCAUAAAAUUUCCAAAAUUUUAGGUUUGGCCAAUCAAUACCAGAUUUUUCUUAAAGUUUCCCCUGUUUCACUGUUUGACUAAUCUGACCACUCUUCACUACGAAUCAAAUUUCUCAUUUUACAGAAUUCAAAAUGUGUUGUAUUUGAUUUCGUUUGAAACUAGGCUCAUUAAGGAGUCUAAGAAUAUAAAUUUUAUCUUAUAACCAUUUUUGUACAAUUUAUAAUGAUUUUCUAAAAACAGAACAGGGGAUUUCGGAGUCAUUCUGACACCAUCUCACACAACUUUAAAUAUCUCUUUAUAGGAAAUUUCUUUGCUCACAAGGUCUCUUUUAUAAGAAACUAGACUAAUUAAGCCUUGAUUACAUAUUUUAUUCAGCCUAUAAUUCCACACCAACAAUUUAUAGUGAUUUUCUAAAAUCACGUUACUGCUGCUGUCCAAAGUAAAUUAUUACAAUUUGCUCUUAAAUUUCCAAGUCCAAACACAUAUGAACUUACCAUUUGAGUUUAAGACAUAUCAUGGCCACAUCAUAUCUUAUUAAAUCAACUCAUUAUGUCCUAUUAUGAUUGAAUUUACUCAACGUUUAAUCACUUAAAACUUACCUCGGAUGUUGUCGAACGAUUUCGGCGGCUAUUCGACCACUUUUUCCUUCCCUUUAUCGGAUUUAGUUCCCCUUUGCUCUUGAGCUUAAUUCAAACAAAUUUAACUCAUUAAAGUCUCAUUUUGCUAGCUUAUGGCCGAAUAUGACAAGGAGUUUGAUAGGUCAUAUGGCCACCUUUUAGCAUGCAAAUGAUAUCAACACCAAUCCACCUUGGCCGAAUAUCAUCCCCAUGACAUAGUAAAGAUUUGAACCAUGGGCUAUUUAGAACUCAAGCUAACUACUAAAACAUGCAUGCAUCUCAUGGAACAUCAUCAAACAUACCUUAGUCUAUCAAACCACCAUAGCCGAUUUCCUCAAAGCUCUUUUUCCUUCUUUUUCUUUCUCCUAUUCGGCCAAGAACAACAUGAGAGCUUUUCUCUUCUUUUUUUUUUGGUCAUGCAUGAGAAUGAUGAACACAUUUUUUUCUCUUUGUUUUCUUCCUUCAAUUUCUUAUUAGUUUAUUGCCCAUGCUUCUUAUUUUAUUCUUCCAUUAACACAACAUGUUUCAUGACAUGUUUUGCCCAUGCUUCUUAUUUUAUUUUUCCAUUAACACAACAUGUUUCAUGACAUGUUUUGCCCAUCAUCCCUUGCCAUGGCUGGCCACUAGUACUUAAAUGGGGGGAAAUUGACAUGCAAGUCCACCCCUUUGAUUACAUGCACUAUUAGGCCACUUGCAUUUGCCUAGCACAUUUCUAAAUUUUCUCACAUAAGUCCUAUCAACUAAAUUCACAUGCAAUUAACUAAAUCGAAGCUUAAAACUUUCACACAUUUAUAUUCACAUAUUUUAGGCAAUAAUUAUCACAUUCAAAUAAUUUGGUGACUCGGUCUAGCGGUCCCGAGACCGCUUUCCGACUAGGGUCACUUAGGGGUGUCACAUAGUAAGUUCAUAUGCGAAUAAUAUACAACUACUAACAUUUAUUUACUUUAUUCAUCCGUAAUGAUACUAUUAUUACAAUUUGCAUUAAAUCCCAUAAUUAUCACUUACUCAUUCAUAAUGCUUACUCUUUUAUCCUACAAACACUAAUUGUAUGUCUUGGCAUUAGACUAGCAACCAUAAUUUCCCUAUUAUAGCAUAUCACAUUAUUAGCAAGUUAUUUCAACUCGCCUAACAACAUGUACAUCAUUUACGAGUAAUCAUAAUUUUCUUAUAUAGCUUUAUAAUCUUUCACAUAUCUAUUGAAUCACAGCUUAAGUAUAUACAUCGUAUUAUAUCACAAUUCAAUUAGGCUCAUAAGCCCAACACAUGAUUAGUUUUCAAUUCUUAUCAUAUAUCCAUUGAUCAUAAAUGUAGAUCUUUAGUCACAAGGUUAUCAAUAUUUCACAGCAUAGCUUUUUCGUAUGCAUUCUUACCACAUAUUCAUCAUUUACCAAAUUCACUUCACAUGAGUUCUGUGUACAAACCUGUACCGUUCGGAAUAUAGUCGCAUGCUUUCUCGUUCUUAACAUACCUGUUGAAAUACAAUUUAAGCAUAUAAACAUAUUAGAUCACAUUUCAAUUCGGUCCAAAAGCCUAACACGUAAUCAUCAUUUAUAUUUAUCAUAUAUCCAAUAUCACAAGUGUGUACACUAUCAAUCACAAUGGAUAAUAAAUAAUUAUUGCCACAAUAAUCAUGAAUUUACAAUUAUAGGCUUACAUACAUGCCUGUUCACUCGUAGUAAUUUCAUUCUCGUACUCAUCUUUGAUUUACUUGUCACAUAAUUCACUGAUUUACCCAUUGAACACUUGGAAUACUAUUGGAUACAUGGAAAUCUUGCACAUAGUGCCUCAUAUGUAGCCACUUGCUACCUCAUAUCACAUAUCACACAUUACUUACUCUCGAGCUAAUCACGGGCCUGCUCAUACAAGCUGACAGUCAGGACGUAACUACACGGGCUGUUCACACAAGCUGACAGGUACCCACAACACAUGCUGGGCUACCCAGCCACCGGUAAAACGUACAAGACCAGCACCCGGAUUCACAUAGUCACAUAUACACAUAAUAUCAUAAGCUCAUAAUCACAUAGUUCCUAGUGACAUGUCACAUUGUAUCCUAAAUUAUUCCUAAGGUUCAAACGGGAUUUUUCUCGAUAUCACAUAUUCGUCGAACUCGUUCACAAUGUCAUUCUCAUUGACCAUAAUAUUGUUCAUACAUUUAUUACAACAAUUAAACAUAGAAAUUCAUACAUAAAUAAAGCAUUAAAACAUGAUACAACUUUUCAUUAUUUACACGUGAGCUUACCUCGACACCAAAAUGGCAAAAAAGGGACCUAGCCGUCAAUUUCUCGAUUUCCCCCGUUCUAGGUCCGAGCUUUGUUUUCUUUAAUCUAUCACAUCACAUUUAGCUUAUUAUUAGUCACAUUAUUCAUUGUGACCCAAAAAUCAUAUUAUGGAAAUGUUUUUGCCCCUAAACUUUGUCAUAAUUAUACUUUUGCCCCUAGGCUCAGAAAAUGAUUUUCAUUCAAUUUCUUUGCACUUUAAGCCUAGCCGAACCACUUUCAUAACUAGAAAAUCCCAUAAUUUCCACUAAAUCACACUUUUAUGACAAAUUUUAUAACUUUUACAAUUUAGUUCUUUUGGCCGUUUUCACCGAAAAUCACUUAGCAAAAGUUGUUUCUCCAACCAUACAUGCAUAGUUUACCAUUAAAAAUCAAAAUGCACAAAUUUAUAACAUGGGUCAAACCCUAGACUUUCAUCAUAACUCAAAUAAAUGGUAGAAAUAGGUAGAUCUUGUUACGAAGAUUUAAAAAACGUAAAAAUCAUUGAAAACGAGGCUAGUACAGACUUACAAUCAAGCUUGGAAGCUUGAAAAACCCUAGCCAUGGUUUCUCCAUGCAAUUUUUGGCCAAGGGGUUGAAUAUGGACAAAAAUUGGCUUUUAAUUUUGUUUUUAAUUCAUUUUAAUUACUAAAUGAUCAAAAUGCCCUUAACAUAAAAAUACCCUAUUUCACCUAUUUCAUGUUUAUUUUUCUCCAAAAAAUUAUCCAAUGAUCUAAUUACCAUUUAAGGACCUCCAAUUUAAAGUUUCAUAACAAUUGGACACCUCUAACAUGUAGUGCUCAAUUUUUGCAGUUUUUACAAUUUAGUCAUUUUGACUAAAUUGAGUGCCCAAACGUCGAAAUUUUCAAACGAGAUUUGCAGGAAAUAAUUCCGUGAAAUUUUAUACCAUAAAAAUAUAAUAAAAUAAAUUUUUCCUCGUCAAAUUUGUGCUCCCGAAACCACUGUUCCGACUAGGCCCAAAAUCGGGUUGUUACAAUUCUCCCCCCUUUAGGGAUUUUCGUCCUCGAAAAUCUUACCAGAAAAGAGAUAAAAAAUGUCAUUCUCAUAAGUUCCUCUACCACAUCAAAGAAUCUUAUUCAAGGGCAAUACUUCUCGAAACACUCUGUCGUCGGAUCUAAUAUUUAAAAUCUUAAACUUUCAAAUAUGUAUAUCACUUAUGUCAGUUUGAAGUCGCUUUCAACUUUUAUGAAUCACUUUCACUAACUUCUCAGAAUCACAAAUUGAUUUAAGCUCGUAUCUCUUUCCAAUAACCUUUGAAAUUUUGUAUACGGUGUGGGAACAUAUUGUUAAAAUUCUGAAUUACUCUCUCAAGAACAUAUAUACUUAGUUGACCUGACAAAUAAGGACUCUGUACAUAAUGAAACAAUCAUGCAGAUUUUUGCCAAACAAUCAACCGCAAUCCAAAUAACAUCCCCCUUUUUAGAGAAAAUGACAAUCCCGAUACAAAAUUUAUAGUAACUCUAUCUAAUAACAUACUAGUACCAUUAAUGAUGGCAAUAAUUCUGAAUGUUCUUAUUGUUCGGCCUACUUGCUAACAAAUAGACAUCUAAAAAUAAAUUCAAAAUAUCUUGUAUCAUACACAAUUACCAGAACAUCUACUUUAUAUGACUGCACAUUCUGUUACUCUUGAAUGAACUGAUGAGCUAUUACUAAGCCUCGUAUAAAAAUUUCCUGCAUAAGCUUUGAAUUCAUCUGCAUGCAAUUUCUAUCUCAUAACAAGGGUACGAGGCAUUACCGGACAUAAACUUAUACAAUCAUAUAAAAACGAGACAUGAAUUUUUGUCGAAAUUUAAAACUUUUCAUUCACAUGCAUAACGUCCCUAAAGUCAAAUUGGACACUUCACUCAUAAAAUUUCUUCAUGAAAUUUUCACACAAGCAUGGAAUCAUAUAAUAGACCUCAUAAUAAUCAUAAAAUAUUUAUUUCUAUUUCAGAUUUGUGGUCCUAAAACCACUGUUUCGACUAGGCCCAAAAUCAGGCUGUUACAUACGAAACAACGAUAGUAGGGAAAACAAAACAAAAAUGAAAACAACAGUAAGAAUGGGGAAAAAAUUCGGCAGAGAACAGAGAAUAAGAGAAAGAAAGGUGGAAAAAAAUGAAAAAG